GCGUAAGGUGAAGAUGUUGUGGGAGGACCAGGGCAUAGCAGGGGAGAUCCAAAAACUCAAGAUACUCGUGACAGAGCAUAGUGACCGGGCCAAACGCUACCCUGUGGGAAUGCGGUGCGACUCACCUCAGCCGGUGCGCUUGGAUCCUCGAGCAACUGCCCUCUUUCAGGAGGCGAGGGAUCCUGUGGGAAUUGAUGGUCCUCGCGAGGAAAUCAUCCAGUUAUUACAAGUUGAAGAAAAUCAGCACAAGGUGGUGUCCAUCUAUGGUACCGCUGGGCAGGGGAAGACUACUCUAGCCAUGGAGGUAUACCGAAAAAUCACACAAGCAUUUGAUUGCAGGGCUUUCGUGUCUGUAUCUCAGACUCUGGAUAUGAAGAAGCUACUCAGAGAUAUAUUGUCUCAAAUAGUAAGCACGAGCGAGUUUGACCAGUUGCAGUCGGAAAGGUGGGAGACGGAGCAGCUCAUGCGCAAAAUGAGAGACUACUUAAUUGACAAGAGGUAACCAGAAUUACUUUCUUGUACUAUAAUAAUUAGCCAGUUCAUCUAGCUAUGGCAAUGUUGUGAGGUCUUUGUCGAUCACAUGAGCUCACCAAAUUUAUCGGCCAUUUUACGAUUGUAUUUUAGGGACCCAUUCGAGCAUAAAACUACCACGUAUGCAUUUGUUACAUGAUUCCUCAACCAAUGCAUGCAGGUACUUCAUCUUGAUUGAUGAUAUCUGGAAUGUAUCAGAUUGGGAGCAAGUAGAAGCUGCCUUACCUCGCAAAGACAACGGAAGCAGAAUAAUUACUACAACACGUAGUAAAACAGUAGCUGAAACAUGUGCUGGUAUUGAUGCACAAAUGUACAAAGCAAAGCCACUUGGUGAUGACGAAUCUCGCAGAUUAUUCUUUAAAAGGCUAUUUCACUCAACUGAACAUUGUCCCCAAGAUUUGAUGGCAGUAUCCAGUGAUAUUUUGAGGAAAUGUGGGGGAAUACCUUUAGCCAUAAUCAGUAUAGCUGGUUUAUUAGCAAACAGAAGCAAAACCAAGGAAGUCUGGGUCAAUGCAUUGAAGUAUAUUUCUGCUGCAGUUGACAAAGAUUCUCACAUUGAUAAAAUGAAAAGAAUUUUUCUGCUUAGUUACUUUGACCUUCCUCUUUAUCUAAGGAGCUGUAUGUUAUAUCUGAGCGUGUUCCCGGAGGAUUAUGUGAUUGAUUGUAGACAGUUGAUAUUGUUAUGGGUAGCCGAAGGACUGAUUCCUGGACAAGGCAGAGAAAAUAUGGAGCAGCUUGGGAGGAGUUACCUUAAUGAGCUGAUCAAUAGAAGCUUGGUCCAGCCAACCAAGGUUGGGGCAGUUGCCGCAACAGUGAAAGAGUGCAGAGUUCAUGAUGUCAUACUUGAGUUUAUUGUAUCAAAGGCUUUGGAGGACAAUUUUGUUACUAUAUGGAAUCGUAAUGGGUUUUCUGAAAAUUAUUCUUCUAACAAGAUUCGCCGUUUAUCUAUCCAAUAUGGUAUUUCUAUGCGGGCUGAAGAGAUGGUGAAGAUAAAAGAACAGGCAGCUCAUAUUCGAUCAAUCAAUAUUUUUGACCCUAAUUCAGUGCUGCUAAUUAAAAACACCUCUAUGUUUUUAAGUAGCCAAGUCUUGCGAGUGCUGAAUACACAAACUCAGGAGAAGUUACUUGAAGAUUGCUAUCUUGGACAUGUCAAAAGUUUUGGUCAAAUGAAGUACUUGAGGUUAAAAUUUUGGUCAUCAAUAUGGCACUGCAAACUCCCAGAAGAUAUAGAAAAGCUGCAACAUCUUCAGACACUAGAUGUUAGGUGUAGCAGCAUUGAAAAACUACCGGCUAGCAUUACCCAAUUGCAGAGAUUAGUGCGUCUUCUUGUACAUAAUGAGGUAAAACUACCUGAUGGGAUUGGAAAUCUGCAGGCAUUGGAAGAGCUAUCAGUGAUCAAUUUGGAUAUUCAAACUAUCAAGUUUAUCCAAGGGCUCGGCGAUCUGACCAAUCUGAAGGUACUUGGAAUUGAGUGGUGGUACGCUCAUGCAGAAGUACGUCACGUGGACGUGGAAGGCCACAAGGAAGCAUGUAUCUCGUCACUCUCCAAGCUUGUCACAACCCUUCGAGAACUGCGCAUCAUGCAGGAUGCUUAUGACAAACUUUCAUUCAUGGCUUCGUGUGGCUCUACUCCACCACCCCUUCGGAAGCUCAUCAUUCGUGGAUGUGUCCUGCCCCAUCAAAUCAUCAGCUCGCUAGUCAACCUGACCCGCCUCUGUAGUGGACUAGUAAGCCAGGAAGGGAUAAAUAUCCUAGCAAGUUUGCCCAUGCUCCUCUCUAUUACUGUUUGUGUUUCCUUUGCAGAGGGUAAUUCUGGAACCAGGUAUACAAUCAGCAGUCAAGGAUUCCAGCGUUUAGUCAAGUUUAAUUUCAUGUGUGUUGAUGAGGGGGCGUUGGAGUUUGAGCCAGGAGCCAUGCCAUGUGGCUGCAGGCACGGGGUCAGUUCAAUUAUGAGCAAGGCGGCCUGGUCCUUGGGCUGCAGAAUCUGGCAGGCCUCAGACAUGUUGCUCUUCGUAUUGCCAGUUAUCAAGCUACUCCUGACGAGGUGCAGGAUUUGGAGGAUGACAUCAGGGUUGCAGCAGGCGCCCAUCCCAACCGUCCCGUGGUCCAGCUGGUCAAUAAAUUACGUCAAGUUUGUAUGGCUCAAGGGUGCAGCAGGCGCCCACGCGACCAUCCCAUGCUAGAAGCACAAUGACCAAGUAAAUGCAUGGUGUGGAGAAUAAAUAUCAUGAUCAAUGAUGAUCUUUUUUUUUCCUGUUUCAAGAGCAUGUUGGAAUUAAACAAGGUUAAUUUGAUUUGUUUUCAUCUUAGUUUUUGCUUUAUGACAACAUGUGUGUGCAUGCAGAUUGACCUCUCGGAUCUAUUGAGUGCUGAUAUGUGUUUGUAACGACCGACCCCUAAACUUUCCCAGUUAAUCUUGAUCGGAGCCCUUGACCUUAGUUAUCUGUCUUGCUUAACCGUGCCUGAGUGCUCAGUUUUCCGCCGGUCCCGACCCCUGGAUCCGACCCCUUCCCGCUUCGCUCCUCUUUCGACCCCGGCGAGCUCAGCCCGCCGUCGGAUCCUGCUGAUCUUCCUCACCCGUCCGAUCUAUCCACCGGUGGACCCGUGAGAUCUUUUCCAGAUCCUCCGCGACAGCCGCACUCGAGUUGCAUGGCCGCCUCAGAGUCUUCCUGCCGCGUGGCUCGUCUUCUCUGACGCCUGCCGCUCAGUUUUGUCUCUGGCAAGCAACAGAGUGGGUUCCCGCGCCCCCUUUCCCCAAUGGCAGCGGAAGCCCUCUGCACCCCUUUCUGCAGAGCCUCGCCUCCCGCGCCCAUCAUCACACCACCAGAUCCCGGCCCCAGAGCCCGAUGUCGCCCGUCUUUUCCGUCCCUUCAGCCACAGUUGCGCCGCCCGGUCGUCGCUACACGACGAUUCCUCCACCGCCAACCCCGACCGCGGCCGCGACAGUUCCUUUCCCCGCUCUGUCAGAAGCCGCCCGACAAUCUGUUGUUCCGCGCUCUCCCCCGCGCCCGCGUCCGCCUGUCUUCUCACCUGUGCGCCCUCGAUUCUAGCGCCGUUAAACCGGUCGCUUCCAUCACCUCUUCCGCACGACGACGCCCGCUUUCCGCCAAAUCCCAACCACCGGUCUACCCGCUCCUACGCCGCCCUGACGGCAGAGCGCAAUGAUCGCUGGCGUCACCCCCGGAGUUCUGCAGCACCGCCCUCUUUGCUCAAUCACCGCCACGGCAGGGCACUCCAUUGCUUCUCCCCGGCCUUCGCGCCGCUCCCCUUUUCUCUCUCCGCGCCGUUUCCUUUUUCCCUGCUCCAGCAGCUAUAAAAGGAAUGCCCCCGUCGCCGGAGUUUCCCUCCGCCCUUGUUGCCUUCAGCUUUCUCUAGCUCCCUGCUCAAGCUCCUAGCGCCACCCACCCAGUUCUUGAGAAGUUCUUCUCCCAGUUCCUUCUCAGUUUCCUCCAAGUCACCCAGCAGCUUGCUCCUCCGUGCUGCGUAAGAGCUCUCUUGUGAUCCGCAAGAAGCAGCGCCGCCGCCGGAGCAUUGCCGGUCGUAGCCCUUGCUCGAAGCUUUAGUCCCUCCGCCCAAGUUCGCUUCUUCCCGACCCCAAGCUUUCCUUUCAGGAAGAAGGUGAGUUGCCGACCCUAAGUCCGCCUCGCCCGACCCCUCCUAUCCGCCCGACCCCAGUUCCGUCUCGCCCGACCCUAUCUGUUCCGCCGACCCUUAUCCGCCUCGCCCGAGGGCUUGGCUGUGAUCUUUUUCUUCAACUCGAGGGUGUAUGUGUAAAACUUGGGAACCCUGCAACGCUUGCGUCUAAGGACCCCUAUCACAUCCUCUAGUUCAAGGAUCAGACCACUAGUUUCCCUUCCUACCCUUACCUGUUGAUCAUCAUCAGCUCUCUCGAACCUCCACAACCUCCUCCUCCUUGUCGCAAGUUUCUGGGCUCAGGAGAGCCAGUGUUGCUGUUGAAAUAACUGUCUAAGCUAACCCUUGCAUUGCAUUCGUGUAGAGCUGCACCUCGCCGACGGUUUCUACGAGCUUCACCCGGCGCCAGAAGAAGAAGCUGUAGCCGAGCUCCUGCCCUCCGAAGCCGAAGUCGCCCCCGAAGCCGAGCCGUUCCCGUCCUCCUUGCUUGAAGGCAAGCCCCGGUUGCAUGAAAUUCCUAUGUGUUUUACCAGACUUGCGCAUGCCUUCUGUAACAUGCUUGUGCAUUUACGUAUAGGAGUUGUGUGAAACCCUAGAUGCAUGACUUAGGUAACCCAUGAUGUGAGCACUAGCUGUUGGACCGAGUAGCUGCAUUGCUUAACUAGGAGACGGUAAAAGUCGAGUGAUCUCCUGUCACUCGCGAGUUGUAGGAGUUGCCUGAUUUACUCUCCUGUUACAACUAUAAGGACGAUGGAUGGGGCAGGGUUUUGGUAACUUUUUGGUGGUCGGAUGGACGCCCCGUCUGUCUAUGAAAUCUUGCUAAGGCCCGACAGUGGUGGUGUUCGUGAUCAAGUGUUUGAAAGUACUAGCCUCAUACUUAGUAUGGGAUGAGGAAGCCUAGUACCGGAUUGAACCUAGACGUGAGCGGUCGCCCCAUUGUUCUUGGAACGGAGUUUCCCCUGCUGGUUGUCGCACGUGGUGGCAAGCGUGGUCACAGGACGGCAGAGGCCGAGUCUGUGGAACCUUGCACCAAAGGAAAUGGGCCCGACACGGGUUAGGGGAUUGAUGGGGAAGGCCGACACAGGAAGCGACCUCCGGGUGCGCGGAUGUCGUGAGGCUAGGUUCACCAUGCAUGGUUAAAGAACUCGAAUCGAUUCGUCUGCCUCUCACAGCUUGAGAUUGCUUGAUCGCUAUGUCACCCUAAGUAAAUGAGGAAUCUGAUGAUGGCAAUGUUGUUGUUAUAUCUACACAUCUUGUUUGGCUCUAUGAUUGCUUAGAACAGGUUGCACAACCUAGACUGGUAAAUGAACCUAGAACCGGAGCUAAAACUUGAAUUAGGGUUACUUAGUGCUUUUGGAAAACAAACCCCUAACCCAAACAGCUUGCAUGCCUAGAAGGAGGAGUAGUCCUUACUCCUAUCGGUUAAGUCUUGUUGAGCUUAGUAGCUCAGCCUUGUGGUGGCUUCUGUUUUCAGGUGAAGCUGCUGCGUCCGACCCCUCUCUGGUUGGUGCUUGGCCGCCCCAGCUCCCGCCAGGCUGGACGGUCAAGUAGGACCCCUCCUCGGACGGCGAGGAGAGGACUCAGUGAUGUUCUGGCUGGCCUUGCCUGGACAUCCGACCCCGAUGAAGUCUUCCGCUAGUAUUUUUCUCUGUUGUUCUUGAAUUUUGUAAAACUCUGAUGUUGGAUUUUAUGGUUGAACUAAAAUGGGUAAAACUUGCUUAACUCAGUGGACUUGUUGUAUUCUCUGUAACCGCUCACCUUCGUGUGGGUUUGCUAGACUCGAUCCUGUUCAAGUGGUUAAAUCGGAUGAAAUCCGACGGCACUUCGUGUGAGCUCAGUUUAGGCAGGAGUGUCGCAUGUUAGGCGGCUUAACCCUGCUUAACCAAGCUAAUCCGAGGUGGUUCUGCCACAGCUGGUAUCAGAGCCGUGUUUAGCAUUUCAGAGAACCCAAUGAGCCCUAAACACUUCUUUGAAAGGAUAAAAGUUGCAAGAAACUUUUGAAAAUCUCGUACGAUCGUUAAGGAUGACUUAGUGCGAGAGGCCCUAGGGGAUUUUGGGGUUGUUUUAGGUGACUAGUAAGUAUUUGGUUAUUUUGCUAACUCCUCCAGCACUUCGCCACGUCUAUCAUACGUGUGCCGGGUUCCGCAUCGCGAGCAUGCGAGGGUUGAUAGGGAGCUCCAUUCAAGGGACCCUAUCUUCGCGGUUGUUUUCGCCCACGUCUAUUAUACGUGCGCAGGUUCCGUAUGUGUUCCAUACGAAGGUUGGUACGGUUCGAUUCCAACAAACCUAUCGGCACGGUUGUUUCGCCACGUUUGUCAUACGUGUGCCGAUUCCGCAUCACGAGUAUGCGAAGGGUUAUAUGGUUCUAUUCGACAGGAACCUAUUUCCACGGUUGAGUGCUGUCCAUGUAGCCUUAAACGCAUGGGUGCCGUUCCUAUAGUGAAGCGUCCCCACAUAAGUAGAGACUAAAUGUGAUCCAAUUUAUCAGUCCCAGGAGGCUGAUAACACAUUUAUUCAACAGAUAGUUCAGAAACCGUACAGCUCCCGAAGGAGCGGGCGGGCAAGCCACACCCAAAGCAAGACUAAAGCGAUAACAACACAAAUCCAAGUUGCAGUCCAGUCGGACUCCGGGCUGCAAUCGGAGCUAAGCGUCAGCGGAAGCAUCCUGCAAAGGGGCCAACACCGCAGACAGCGUUGGGUGCAGACGCAACCUCCUACUCGAAGUCCUCGACGACAAAGUCCGGAUCCUCCUCUGAAGUAACAACACAAGGGUGAGUACAAAAGUACUCAGCAAGUCCAACCCCAUCCACGGAGGGGGAUACAACAAGAAUAUGCAUAUGAAUAAUCAAGGAAUAAGCUAUGGUUUAUUUGCAGUAAAGCUGAAUUCUUAGACACAUGCGGGGUUCUAUUUCGAAGAGGUUUAAUGAAAACAUUUUAGUGAACAACAUAUCAAGUGGGGUUGAUCCUACACAAAGGAUCCAAGUUUUAUCGCUACCGGACUCCCCGUCCGCCGUAGCGCACGGCACACCUGCCGGACACUUCCAAAAUCCCACACACCCACACACGCGGUAAAAUACCAGUCAUCCCCAAAAGCUAGUUGUGUGACCGAGCCGUAACUCGUCCAAUGCCGUGGACACGGCUACCCGGAUAGGUUUUAACUCUGCAGAGGUUGUACACUUUUCCCACAAGUAGGGUACCGUAUCGCGAUCACCUUAGUGUCGGUACGGAUCCUAACAAAGCCAUUACCCACCUUAGCCAACACUGACUAGUCAACAUGGAAGCGCUCAAGGGGUUAGCAACCCAUCCACGGGGCUGAAACCGGGACCUAAGUCACCAAGAGCUUAGUUCUUUUCCAAGGCCUCCUGUUGCUCACCAGCACACCUGAAGUCUAGCAGUUUAGCUAGUGGGAUUUAUGCUAAGCCGUUGCCCAUACAACGGUCGAGUGGUUGUACGAUGAUGGAAUUAGGCAGGAUGACACAUCAACUCGGUCCUUAGUCAUGACAAGAUGGAUAUCUCCCACUCUGCUCAACCACUGAGGUACGAGCCCAACAACCCGGCGUUCCACACAAGAAACACCCAUCCAUCUCAUCCACCACCUCUCUUUACACCCGAAAACCCAACUCCUCAGUUAAACAUACUCACACAUUAUUUUCUGAGUAAACAGGUGUAGUCAUGUUUGAAUUUGGAUAAUGAGUUCCUAAGCAUUCUAGCAGUAUUUAUCAUCUAAACAGAGCAACUCAUAUUUAGAGAUAAAUAUGGGACAACAAGGAAUAGUCAUAACAAUCAAGGGGUGGCUAUCCAACCAUGUCUUGCGAUAAACAGUAUGCAUGUUAUAAAACAGGCCAAAAGGUUGUGUCUGAAAAACUGAGUAUUAAAUAUGCAUCAAAGGGUGAGAUUGGACUUGCCGUUCUCAAAGCCUUCCGGGAGCUCCUGCUCGCGGUACUGGUCCUCGGGCUCGGGCUCGUGGUCGAACUCCUCCUCGCGCUCCUCCUCGGGUACUCCGCGAUCUACGGCACACACAAACGAGCACACAAUAAAUAAAAAGGAAAAAGAUUUUACCCGUUGAGCUCCGAACAGGAAACAUGAACGGAAAAUAGGUAGACAGGGUAUUUUCAUGGAAUUUUGAUAUGCCUCGGUGGAAACAUAUGAGAGGGGGCCGUGGUCGAAUUUGGGAUUGAUUGGAGGAAAUUUGGCGCAUGAAAUGACGGUUUAAAGGAGUAUUAGGGGCUUUAAAAUGAGGUUUAGGACUGAACCGCGAGAGCAGGGGCCUAUCUGUAAUUAUUUUUGGAAUGGUGGGAGGACCUGUUCGCGAAUCAGGGAAACUAGUGGGUUGGAUCGUGAGGAGAGGGAUUUACCCCUUCUUCUUCCUGGAGACAACAGGAGGUUGAGAGAAGGAUGGCCGUCGGCGCUCUGGUGGUGGUGGUGGAGGAAGGCAAGGUGCUCGUGGUGAGGGUGUGGAGGUGAAGACUCGGCUCCCCCCCUUUUAUAGGCGGCGCCCGGGCGGGCGAGGGCCAAGGUAAUGAUGGCGGCCGGACUUUUGACCGGUGGCGUGCCGGAGUGGUGGAGCUCGUGGAUGGCGUGGCGGCGUGGUCGACGAGGCCACAGGGGCGGCGACCGGUGACCGGCGACACGACGCGACGCACCGAGCCAAGCGCUAGACGCCAAGGCGCGAGCGGGCGUGGCACGAGCGACGUGACGCGGCGCGGGCGCGGCGCGCGGCCCGGCGCGCGUGCGCGGCCCAGCGCCUCGGCGCACGUGCCGCGUGGGCGCCUGGCGCAGUGGGCAGGUGGGGGGGGUUGCCAGGGAAGUAAAAGAGGAGAGAGAGAAAGGGAAAAGGGAGAGGAGGAAGAAAGAGAAGGAAAACGAGAAGGGAAAGAAAGGGGAGAAAAAAGAAAGAAGGAAGAGAAAGAGAGGGAAGGGAGGGGAAAAAGAUGGCGGAAAUUGCGGGAUUCGACUGCGCGCGGUGAUGGACUUGUCGAGCACGCGGCGAAAUUUACGGGGAGUGGAAAAUGGAGGAUUGACGGGCCGGGGCCAGGACGGCGGGUCCGACGGAAGGGAAAGGAUUUGACGGAGCUCGGCGGUAGGAAAAUUUUUGGAAAGUGUUUUUUAACGGGUGAUUUAACUGAGUGUAUUUUACGAGCGUUACAUAUAGUGAGCGGUAAUGUUUGGGAACGCUUUCGUGGGUGCUGGCACGAAAGGUUCGUGUGUGUGUUUUCUACAGGUUGCUAACCGCGUUCGUUAGGAGACGUUACUAGAACCGACUAGUUAAUAUAGGGAGAGACGUAUUGUUGCCUUGUCACCGGCGCUGACCGCGUAAGACCCGAGGUUCGGGCAGUUGUUUUUGGUUAAGAGUACGGUAGGUCGUGCAUGCGUCAUAUCCAAAAAGGUUGUACGGUUUCCUUUCUCAACAGCAACCCUGUUCAGAAGAGUUCUUUUGGAUCUAAGGAUUUCUAGUUUCUCUUGGUUGCUCUCGGUUAAGCCCUUCUGCUUCUUAUCCGACCCCUGAUCCUUGGAGUUAUCUCACGUGGUUUUCGGUUUUCUUGGUUCCAGAUGGCUGUUCCCGGACAUGUUGUUUUUGGAGCGGACGGUACCUUCCAGUCAACGUGCCUGCAUUUCGAGGGGUUUCCCGCGAUUCUGUGGGAUACGCUAAAGUGGUUUGGGUAUCAGUCCCCGCCCCUGUAUGCCGGUCGGUUGUAUAUGGAACAGGGCAUUCAGAUGUGCCAAGUGCAAGCGUUGGUACCACCUCCCCUUGCACGGCCCGACUGGCCCUCCCUUGGCAUAAUAGCCUAUGGUCUCGCUCCGGAAGAUACAUGGGAAUCCGCCGUCCUUCAGUUGCUCACCCAGUUCUGUCAGUUGCAUCCUGUGGAGAUCACGCUAGACCCGAUCGGCCUCUUCCCCGUCAGGAGUCGGCUGGACCCGGCCUGGCUUGACCGCGUCGGGAACAUCGAGGUGUUGGCCACCACCUGCGCCAUGGUCACCAUCUCCACCAACGUCCGGUGCAUGGCCGCUCUCUACCGGUUGAUAGAGCUUCAAGGAAGAGCCAUGACUCUCUUCGCCCGGACGGCUGCAGAUACCCACGGUUGCCUCCAGGCAGCAAGAAGAGACCUGGUAGGCCAAACCUACCAGCUGAUCCAGCGUGGUGUCCAGAUCCACGAUAUGCAAGAUCGGAUCUCCGAGCUAGAAGGAGAAGUUGCCGACCUCGUGGACGGCAUGAUAGAGCUCUCGGAGGAAAAGAUGGAGGUGGAAAUGGAGUUGGCAGUCGCCAAUGCCCACCUGGAGGAGCACCAAGCUGAGCUCGAGGAUAUGCAUGCCCUCAACAUGCAGCUCGAAGCUCAGGAGGACCCUGAGGAAGACGAGGGAGCGUCCAGCAUGGAUAUAGAGGAAGAUGGCGCCCCUUCUCCGACUCAUAGUGUCCAGUGGUAGCUUAGGGGUUCUCAGGGAACCUUCUUUCUUUUUGUUGUACUCCUCGGCAGCCUAGAUUUUGGAAAAGUUGUAAUAGGUUAGCCUCGAGUUGAGUACUCCCUGUGUUGACACGCCGUUGUGUAUAAAGUUAACCCUGGUGCAUAGCUUUCUCAUCUCUGUAUGGUGUGGAUGCUAGGUUGAGUAAGUUGCGCCGUGACCUUAUGAUGUGUUCGGAGAACCUGUUCUUGGGCCGACCCCGGCUUGUGAAACCGAGUGCGCCGACCUUUGAGGCAGUUUCUGUCUUGUCCGACCCUUUUCGAGUACGGACCGUGUCCGACCCCUUGGUUUGAGAGGAUCAGAUCCUAGGAGUCUGUAGGUGGCAUGUGUGCCUGAGGUGGAGUACCAGGACAAGUAGAGGUUAUCUAUGCUGAGAAUGGGAGGAAUGUGCUUCCUCUAUGAGGACGUGUGAUGCACCAUUGGCAAGAGUCGCAUUAAGGGAUUUAAUUCAUAUGUUCCAUUUGUUGGAGUACACCUAAGGUUAUGAAAUUAAUGGGGCGUUAACUCUUGCAGAUGGCGCACCGCACUAGGUCUGGAUCUGUGCCCAGUGGUAGUGAUCAGCAACAGGAUCUUCCCCCGCCCCCGCCCCCAUCGCCAUUGGAGGCAAUCUUAGCAACUCAAACUGAGCUGCUAAGGCAUCUGGUGCAAGGACAACACCAUCAGCCACAUGGUGGAAGAGCACAGCCGCAGCCGCAUAUCGCACGAUAUGAGGACUUUCUGGGGACACAGCCCCCGCUGUUCCAGAAGACACAAGAACCGCUCGAUGCUGACGCAUGGGUUCGUACGAUCGAAUCCAAGUUCGAGCUCCUCACCGCUCCAUGCCCCGAUAACAACAAGGCGCGGUUCGCAGCUCAGCAGCUGCGUGGCUCCGCACGGCUUUGGUGGGACCACUACCAUGCCAUGCUACCUGCUGGCCACGUGGUCAGUUGGAACGAGUUCAAGACGGCGUUUAAGGCGCAUCACAUUCCCUUAGUUCUCCUGGAGCGCAAGCUCAACGAGUUUCUGGCCCUCACCCAAGGAACUCGGGAUGUGCUGCAUUACGCCCAAGCUUUCAAUGACCUAUGCCGUUAUGCUGGCUAUCAUGCGGACACCGACGAGAAGAAGCGGGACAGGUUCCACCGAGGACUGAGCUUGGAGCUCAGGGAAAGGCUGAACCCCAUCAGGGUGGACACCUAUAACGAGUUGGUCAACCUGGCCAUCUCUCAGGAGGACUGCAUGCAGGCUCUCAAGGCCGACCAGAAGAGGAAAGCCUCUGUGGCAUUUCCGAGUCCACCGACUCGAAGGUUCCGGAUGAUCCCUCCACAAGCCCCUGGCCGACCCCAGCAGUCAGGGAAAUGGAUCGCCCGACCCCCGCCGGCAACAACGCCUCGUUUUCCAGGCUUCCAGCCGCAAGUGCCCCGGCCGACCCUGCCAACGCCACCUCGCCCGGCAGCCAGUAAUCGAUGUUUUACCUGCGGCAAUGAAGGACAUUUUGCAAAGGACUGCCCCAGGAACAAGAAUCAGCAGCAAGGCCAGAACCCCAUGGCAGCCAGAGGAAGAAGGCCCAAGGUGCAAGUCCGACAAGGCCAACUCAACUACACCAGCUUAACCGAUCUCCCUAAAGGUGCGCCAGUAAUGACGGGUACUUUCCUUGUUUUAAAUCAAGCUGUUGUUGUGUUGUUUGAUUCGGGAGCCUCUCAUAGCUUUAUCGGGAGUAAGGCAAGGGAAAGAUGUGGGCUAAGUGUCGGUCACACUAAGGAACCCUAUGUGAUCGCCACUCCUGGAGGAAGGAUAACGUCGGAUCAGGUCGUUAUUCUUGUACCUCUCCAGCUAGGUCCCACCCUCUUCAAGUAAAACCUUAUCAUCCUUGACCUAGAAGGCCUAGAUGUCAUCCUUGGCAUGGAUUGGAUGGCCCGACAUCAUGUUGUUCUAGAUACAUCAGCCCGAUCUCUUUACAUCAGCUUACCCUUCCAUGGCAGUUCUACCCUAUCCUUGACCCAUCCUGCGUCUCCGACUCCUUGUGCCUACCCUCUCUUGGGAGCCCGUCUAGAAAACCUCCCUGUUAUCUGUGAGUACCCUGAUGUGUUUCCAGAAGAUUUGCCGGGUAUGCCACCUGAUAGAGAAGUUGAGUUUUCCAUAGAGUUGGUUCCUGGCACAGCCCCGAUAUCUAAGAGACCCUAUCGGAUGCCACCCGCUGAGUUAGCCGUGUUGAAGACCCAGUUGCAUGAUCUGUUGGAAAAGGGCUUCAUUCGACCCAGUACAUCAUCUUGGGGUUGCCCCGCCCUGUUUGUGAAGAAGAAAGAUGGCAGUCUACGUAUGUGUGUGGAUUACCAACCCCUCAAUGCGGUAACAGUCAAGAACAAGUACCCACUGCCACGCAUUGAUGUCUUGUUUGAUCAGUUAACCGGAGCAAAAGUGUUCUCCAAGAUCGAUCUUCGUUCUGGUUAUCACCAAAUAAAGAUUCGACCUUGCGACAUACCCAAGACAGCUUUCUCUACCAGAUAUGGACUGUACGAGUACCUAGUCAUGUCCUUUGGACUCACCAAUGCACCCGCUUAUUUCAUGUACCUUAUGAACUCGGUGUUUAUGCCCGAGCUGGACAAGUUUGUAGUGGUGUUCAUUGAUGAUAUCCUAGUGUACUCGAAGAACGAGGAAGAGCAUGCCAACCAUCUUCAUAUAGUUCUCCAACGGCUGAGAGAUCACCAGCUUUAUGCAAAGUUCUCCAAGUGUGAGUUUUGGUUAGAUAGUGUCAAGUUUUUGGGACACACUAUCUCCAAGGACGGUAUCGCCGUGGACCCCAGUAAGGUGCAAGAAGUCAUGGAAUGGAAGUCUCCUGCCUCAGUCCACCAAAUCAGGAGUUUCCUUGGACUGGCAGGUUACUAUCGGCGUUUCAUACCGGAUUUCUCCAAGAUAGCUAAGCCGAUGACUGAGUUGCUGAAGAAAGAGGUCAAAUUUGUGUGGGAUACCAAGUGUGAAGAGGCCUUCAAGACCCUGAAGCACUUGCUGACCACCGCCCCAGUUUUGGCUCAACCCGACCCCUCUAGGCCGUAUGACGUAUACUGUGACGCCUCUGGUACUGGACUCGGAUGUGUUCUUAUGCAAGACAGCCGAGUCAUUGCCUAUGCCUCACGUGCGUUACGACCUCAUGAGCUAAACUACCCGACCCAUGACCUCGAGUUGGCAGCAGUGAUACAUGCCUUGAAGAUAUGGAGGCACUACCUAAUGGGAGCUCACUGCAACAUCUACACCGACCACAAGAGCCUCAAGUACAUCUUCACUCAAGCCGACCUCAACAUGCGUCAGAGAAGAUGGCUGGAGUUGAUAAAGGAUUAUGAGUUGGAAGUGCACUAUCAUCCUGGCAAGGCCAAUGUGGUAGCCGAUGCCCUCAGUCGUAAACCCCAUUGCAACUGCUUGUUGUCAACAGCCUUCACCAACACUCUGUGUCACGAGAUGGGAAAACUAAGUCUGGAGAUUGUUCCCCAUGGAACCCUUGAUCACAUCAUCCUUAACUCAGUUUUGGUGGACCAAAUUCGGUCAGCACAAGCUAAGGAUGAAGAAAUAAAACGGAUCCUCAGUAAGAUCUUAGUAAAGGAUGAAGGAUAUAAGCAUUUCCGUCAGGACCAAACGGGAGGUGUGUAUUAUGGAAACCGACUAGUAGUGCCCGCCGACCCUGAGUUGAGGAAGCAAAUCCUAGAUGAAGCUCAUCUUUCCAAGUUCUCAAUCCAUCCUGGCAGCAAUAAGAUGUACCAUGAUCUCCGUCAAACCUUUUGGUGGAGUGGAAUGAAACCAGAGAUAGCUCGUUAUGUUUCAGAAUGUGACACCUGUCAAUGUGUCAAGGCCAGUCACUUGAAGGUAGCAGGAACCUUGCAGCCGCUACCUAUUCCCUCUUGGAAAUGGGAAGACAUCAGCAUGGACUUCAUAGUUGGAUUACCCCUUACAACUCAACGGUAUGAUUCCAUCUGGGUUAUAGUGGACCGUUUGACCAAGACCGCCCACUUCCUUCCUGUUCGUACCACCUACAUAGUCAAGCAAUAUGCAGAGUUGUACCUCGACCGUAUCGUUUCCCUACAUGGUGUACCCAAGACCAUCAUCUCUGAUCGAGGAGUUCAGUUUGUGGCCCAUUUUUGGGAGCAAUUACAAGCAUCUAUGGGCACCAAGCUCAUCCGAAGCUCAACAUAUCAUCCUCAAACCGAUGGCCAAACCGAGAGAGUCAACCAGAUCCUUGAAGACAUGCUAAGAGCCUGUGUUAUCCACUAUGAUAAAAACUGGGACAAGUGCCUGCCCUUAGCAGAAUUCUCCUACAAUAACAGCUAUCAGACCAGUUUGAAGAUGGCACCGUUUGAGGCCCUAUAUGGCCGGAGAUGCAGGACACCCUUGAACUGGUCCCAACCAGGAGAAAGACAGGUUUAUGGCCCUGACUUAGUGGCAGAAGCCGAAGAGCAAGUGAAGGUAAUUCAAGCGAAUCUCAAGGCCACCCAAUCCCGACAGAAGAGUUACUCCGACCAGAGGAGAAGACCCCUGCAGUUCGACCUGGGUGAUCAUGUGUACCUUCGAGUCUCCCCGACCAAAGGAGUGCAACGGUUUGGAAUAAAAGGCAAGUUAGCUCCCCGCUAUGUUGGCCCUUAUGAGAUUGUGGAGAGAUGUGGACCCGUUGCUUACCGGAUCCAACUCCCAGAACAGCUAUCAGCCAUACAUGAUGUUUUCCAUGUGUCUCAACUGAAGAAAUGUGUCCGAGUUCCAGCAGAGAUCUUAGAACAAGAACAGCUUCAGGUAGAGCCUGACCUGACCUACGCCGAGUACCCAGAUCGAGUUCUUGACCAAAAGGAAAGGCACACCCGACGCCGAGCGGUAAAGAUGUACAAGAUCCUCUGGAGAAACCACACCGAAGACGAAGCAACAUGGGAAACGGACGAAUAUCUGAACAAGCGUUUCCCAGGUUUUCUGUCCCAUCAAGUAGGUAAGAACAUCACACCCUUUGAUCUUUGAAUCUCGGGACGAGAUUCUUUUUAAGAGGGGUAGGCUGUAACGACCGACCCCUAAACUUUCCCAGUUAAUUUUGAUCGGAGCCCUUGACCUUAGUUAUCUGUCUUGCUUAACCGUGCCUGAGUGCUUAGUUUUCCACCAGUCCCGACCCCUGGAUCCGACCCCUUCCCGCUUCGCUCCUCUUCCGACCCCGGCGAGCUCAGCCCACCGUCGGAUCCUGCUGAUCUUCCUCACCCGUCCGAUCUAUCCACCGGUGGACCCGUGAGAUCUUUUCCAGAUCCUCCGCGACAGCCGCACUCGAGUUGCAUGGCCGCCUCAGAGUCUUCCUGCCACGUGGCUCGUCUUCUCCGACGCCUGCCGCUCAGUUUUGUCUCUGGCAAGCAACAGAGUGGGUUCCCGCGCCCCCUUUCCCCAAUGGCAGCGGAAGCCCUCUGCACCCCUUUCUGCAGAGCCUCGCCUCCCGCGCCCAUCAUCACGCCACCAGAUCCCGGCCCCAGAGCCUGAUGUUGCCCGUCUUUUCCGUCCCUUCAGCCACAGUUGCGCCGCCCGGUCGUCGCUACACGACGAUUCCUCCACCGCCAACCCCGACAGUUCCUUUCCCCGCUCUGUCAGAAGCCGCCCAACAAUCUGUUGUUCCGCGCUCUCCCCCACGCCCGCAUCCGCCUGUCUUCUCACCUGUGCGCCCUCGAUUCUAGCGCCGUUAAACCGGUCGCUUCCAUCACCUCUUCCGCACGACGACGCCCGCUUUCCGCCAAAUCCCAACCACCGGUCUACCCGCUCCUACGCCGCCCUGACGGCAGAGCGCAAUGAUCGCUGGCGUCACCCCCGGAGUUCUGCAGCACCGCCCUCUUUGCUCAAUCACCGCCACGGCAGGGCACUCCAUUGCUUCUCCCCGGCCUUCGCGCCGCUCCCCUUUUCUCUCUCCGCGCCGUUUCCUUUUUCCCUGCUCCAGCAGCUAUAAAAGGAAUGCCCCCGUCGCCGGAGUUUCCCUCCGCCCUUGUUGCCUUCAGCUUUCUCUAGCUCCCUGCUCAAGCUCCUAGCGCCACCCACCCAGUUCUUGAGAAGUUCUUCUCCCAGUUCCUUCUCAGUUUCCUCCAAGUCACCCAGCAGCUUGCUCCUCCGUGCUGCGUAAGAGCUCUCUUGUGAUCCGCAAGAAGCAGCGCCGCCGCCGGAGCAUUGCCGGUCGUAGCCCUUGCUCGAAGCUUUAGUCCCUCCGCCCAAGUUCGCUUCUUCCCGACCCCAAGCUUUCCUUUCAGGAAGAAGGUGAGUUGCCGACCCUAAGUCCGCCUCGCCCGACCCCUCCUAUUCGCCCGACCCCAGUUCCGUCUCGCCCGACCCUGUCUGUUCCGCCGACCCUUAUCCGCCUCGCCCGAGGGCUUGGCUGUGAUCUUUUUCUUCAACUCGAGGGUGUAUGUGUAAAACUUGGGAACCCUGCAACGCUUGCGUCUAAGGACCCCUAGUUUAUCACAUCCUCUAGUUCAAGGAUCAGACCACUAGUUUCCCUUUCUACCCCUUACCUGUUGAUCAUCAUCAGCUCUCUCGAACCUCCACAACCUCCUCCUCCUUGUCGCAAGUUUCUGGGCUCAGGAGAGCCAGUGUUGCUGUUGAAAUAACUGUCUAAGCUAACCCUUGCAUUGCAUUCGUGUAGAGCUGCACCUCGCCGACGGUUUCUACGAGCUUCACCCGGCACCAGAAGAAGAAGCUGUAGCCGAGCUCCUGCCCUCCGAAGCCGAAGUCGCCCCCGAAGCCGAGCCGUUCCCGUCCUCCUUGCUUGAAGGCAAGCCCCGGUUGCAUGAAAUUCCUAUGUGUUUUACCAGACUUGCGCAUGCCUUCUGUAACAUGCUUGUGCAUUUACGUAUAGGAGUUGUGUGAAACCCUAGAUGCAUGACUUAGGUAACCCAUGAUGUGAGCACUAGCUGUUGGACCGAGUAGCUGCAUUGCUUAACUAGGAGACGGUAAAAGUCGAGUGAUCUCCUGUCACUCGCGAGUUGUAGGAGUUGCCUGAUUUACUCUCCUGUUACAACUAUAAGGACGAUGGACGGGGCAGGGUUUUGGUAACUUUUUGGUGGUCGGAUGGACGCCCCGUCUGUCUAUGAAAUCUUGCUAAGGCCCGACAGUGGUGGUGUUCGUGAUCAAGUGUUUGAAAGUACUAGCCUCAUACUUAGUAUGGGAUGAGGAAGCCUAGUACCGGAUUGAACCUAGACGUGAGCGGUCGCCCCAUUGUUCUUGGAAUGGAGUUUCCCCUACUGGUUGUCGCACGUGGUGGCAAGCGUGGUCACAGGACGGCAGAGGCCGAGUCUGUGGAACCUUGCACCAAAGGAAAUGGGCCCGACACGGGUUAGGGGAUUGAUGGGGAAGGCCGACACAGGAAGCGACCUCCGGGUGCGCGGAUGUCGUGAGGCUAGGUUCACCAUGCAUGGUUAAAGAACUCGAAUCGAUUCGUCUGCCUCUCACAGCUUGAGAUUGCUUGAUCGCUAUGUCACCCUGAGUAAAUGAGGAAUCUGAUGAUGGCAAUGUUGUUGUUAUAUCUACACAUCUUGUUUGGCUCUAUGAUUGCUUAGAACAGGUUGCACAACCUAGACUGGUAAAUGAACCUAGAACCGGAGCUAAAACUUGAAUUAGGGUUACUUAGUGCUUUUGGCAAACAAACCCCUCAGCCAAACAGCUUGCAUGCCUAGAAGGAGGAGUAGUCCUUACUCCUAUCGGUUAAGUCUUGUUGAGCUUAGUAGCUCAGCCUUGUGGUGGCUUCUGUUUUCAGGUGAAGCUGCUGCGUCCGACCCCUCUCUGGUUGGUGCUUGGCCGCCCCAGCUCCCGCCAGGCUGGACGGUCGAGUGGGACCCCUCCUCGGACGGCAAGGAGAGGACUCAGUGAUGUUCUGGCUGGCCUUGCCCGGACAUCCGACCCCGACGAAGUCUUCCGCUAGUAUUUUUCUCUGUUGUUCUUGAAUUUUGUAAAACUCUGAUGUUGGAUUUUAUGGUUGAACUAAAAUGGGUAAAACUUGCUUAACUCAGUGGACUUGUUGUAUUCUCUGUAACCGCUCACCUUCGUGUGGGUUUGCUAGACUCGAUCCUGUUCAAGUGGUUAAAUCGGAUGAAAUCCGACGGCACUUCGUGUGAGCUCGGUUUAGGCAGGAGUGUCGCAUGUUAGGCGGCUUAACCCUGCUUAACCAAGCUAAUCCGAGGUGGUUCCGCCACAGUGUUGCUUGAUGGUGUUGUGUCAAGGUGGGUUUGGGAUGUGUGCUUGGAGCGAAGGUCUUUGCCCUUCGCCGGACAACGAUGAUGGUGACGCCUGUUGGUGCCACAUCCCUCUCUAUUGACAACUAUGGAUUGUAGGUUGCUGGGUAAUUUUGAGACGUAUGUUGAGUUUAAGAUCUUAUGUCGUUGUUUAUCACUUACUGGAUCUCUUUCUUCUUUCUUUCUUUAAUUCUUUUAUAUUUCCUUUUUUGACAAGGUUGUGUGUUGUUGCAUAUGCGGCUGGAAUCUAAGCUUUCUUCAUCCAAAAGAAGAUUAUAUAAAACAACCAGAAAGAAAUAAAGGGGGGCGGUUAAUCUCCUUCCCAAGGGGAUUGGAGGGGAUUUUGACUGGUAGGGGAUGUUUUGCAGGAGGAUGUGCACCUCAACAUAAGUAACAUAGAAUCUGUGGGUACACUUUUGACAACAUACCUUAAAACCACAUUGUAUGCAACAAUAACCUUGUGCAAACCAUAUAUAGCUAUGCCCACCAUUUUAUAGAACAAUGUUCAAUAGACUACCAUAUGCAUAUGGGCGUGCACGAUGGAUAUUAGACACAGAACAUAGUAGUAGUAGUAUAACUUGCACAAAACUACAUGCAUGAUCUUUUAUAUUUGAGCCAGCAAGUUCUUUCAAAAGAUAACCCACAAGAAAGCACGCACUGGUCUUCUUGUGCACUAUACGUUGGGUGUUGCAAUUGCUUAUAAUAAUCUCUUUUAUUUGUUCAGUUUGAACAACCGUGGCUAGGCACUUCCUAAAGUCUUCACUUCAAGUACUUGUCAAACCAGUCGAUCAUUAGGUCAAGAGCUUGCUCAGCAGUUUUGACAGCAAAAGGGUCGGUGGUAUUAUAUCUACAAGCAAAUCCAUGUGUAGUUCCUGGAAAGAUCUUGGCGUAGUAGGGAAUCUGCAAACAACCAUGCCACAAAAAUGAGCUUUUCUAACUGAUAUAUAGUAUCCUCUAUGACGGAAUCACUAGGAAUGCAGCUCUUCUUCUUCUUAAUAUAAAGAUACGCAGCUCUCCUGCGUAUUCUUGAAAAAAGGAAUCACUAGGAACUCACCUCUGUUCUAUGACGCAGUACACUCACAUACUUGUACACUAGUUCCGGCGGUGCCUCUGAGUCAUUUUGAGCUCCAAGGAUCUCGAUUGGACAUUUAACCUCUGUUUUGAAUAAUGAUCAUAUAGUUAGCAUAUAUAUGAAAUUAAGCAUUUAAAAGUUCAGUUCCAAAGACAUCUCAAUCGAUCGAUGCUGUCUGGGAGCUAGGUUGCAAACACAAAGAAAAGGAGCUAGCAAACCUUUCAUGUCAUCAGUAGUCACAAUGUAAGGAUGAGGUAUGGAAACUACUUUAACAUCACUGGUCUUCCCCAUCUCCACACUGAACUUUCCUGUCAGAUACUCGGCAAUAGAAGAUAAGAAUUGUAUGUUCUAUGUGUUGCCUGAAGAAGGAUUUUGGAAGCUGGAAUUUCACUCACCACCCCAGGAAUAACCUCCCGCCCCGAUGGACUUUCCUUCCUUUUCUAAAGCAGCAAAGAGUGGCUUGGCGUCUUUGGCAGCUUUCACCUGCCAGAUCGAUCGGAUACUCAUCAAAUCAAUAUAGUUUUCAACUAGGCUUUGGCUUGGCUAUCGAUCAUGGCCAACCCAAUUGGCCAUGAUUGGGUCACGACCAUGGCAGUAAGAUAUAUUAUUGACCACCUAAACCAAUUAUUUUCUCGACCACCUAACCCAAUUGUUGUCUCUUGCACUGUAUCUUUACAAAGCACUUUCUCGGGUCGUUCCCAUCGGCCAUCUACGACUGUGACGCCCUGAGAAUUGAAGCGCCCUUCCUCUCUAACACCACCACAACUGCUGGCCGAAUCGAUGGCGAGCGCCGCCACGAGCGUGAUGGGGUCCGUCAUCGGCAAGCUGACUGCCAUGCUCGGCGACAAGUACCAGCUGGCCAGAGACGUGGACCAAGGGAUCCAAUUCCUCAAGGAUGAGCUGAACACCAUUGAUGUCGUGCUGCAGAAGCUCGCAGACAAGGAAGACGACCAAAUGGAUCCAAUGGCUAAAGAUUGGAGGAACAAGGUGCGUGAGCUAUCCUUCGAUAUUGAGGAUUGCAUCGACCGCUUCAUGCUCAAUCACAGCCAUGGAGGUUCCAAUGCUAACUUCAUCGACCGCUUCAUGCGUAAGGUGGAGAUGUUGUGGAAGGACCAGGGCACAGCAGGGGAGAUCCAAAAACUCGAGAUACUCGUGAGAGAGCAGAGUGAGCGGGCAAAACGCUACCGCGUCGAUCCUCUCGCCGCCUCACCUCAGCCGGUGCGCUUGGAUCCUCGAGCAACUGCCCUCUUUCAGGAGGCGAGGGAUCCUGUGGGAAUUGAUGGUCCUCGCGAGGAAAUCAUCCAGCUAUUACAAGUUGAAGAAAAUCAGCACAAGGUGGUGUCCAUCUAUGGUACCGCUGGGCAGGGGAAGACUACUCUAGCCAUGGAGGUAUACCGAAAAAUCACAGGAGCAUUUGAUUGCAGGGCUUUCGUGUCUGUCUCUCAGACUCUGGAUAUGAAGAAUCUACUCAGAGAGAACUUUUUUUUAUUUUUAACCCUUUUUUUUCUUUAUUUUUAAAAAUAACCUCACCCGGGUUUAAUUUGCGCGGCGUGACCCUUUUGACCGCGCCAGACCGCCUGGUGCGGCAGGAACACGCUGCCGCGCCGCAUGCACUGGCGCGGCGGCCCCUGCCACGCUGGCGCGGCGAGUCGCGGCGCCAGGUGGGCGCUGACGUGGGCGGGGCGUUCGCCGCGCCAGCCCGCCUGGCGCGGCAGAGCCAGCACUAGAUCGACGCGCCGGCUCCCUUCCUCCUCCCUCCCUCCUUUCUUCCUCCUCCAGACACACCCGAGCCCAAGCUUGCAGCGCCGCCCCCCGCCGCCCCACCCCCAAAUCCACCCAAAAUCCGGCGUUUUUGGUGGGGGAAAGUAGUGGAAAUCGAUCCUUGCUUCGUGUGGAAGGUAUUCCCCUACUUAUUCUCGUGUUUUACCAUUGCAUUUGGUAGAUCGGAGGAUGUUUAGGUGACUUAGGGUUAGGUUAGUGAAGCGUCCCCACAUAAGUAGAGACUAAAUGUGAUACAAAUAUCAGUCCCAGGAGGCUGAUAGCACAUUUAUUCGACAGAUAAUUCAGUUACCGUACAACUCCUGAGGGAGUGGGCGUGAGAGCCACGCAGCGAUAAACAGUAAAUAAAUAACGGCGGCUAACCAAGCGACUGCCAAAAGACAGCACUCGGGACUACACGGCAGCAGCAGCAUCUUGGAAAGGCCAACACCACAGGCAGCGUCGGGUGCGGACACAACCUCUACUCAAGGUCCUCAACGACGAAGUCCGGGUCUUCCUCUGUAGCAACAAAGCAAGGGUGAGUACAAACGUACUCAACAAGUCCAACCCCAUCCACGGAGGGGGAUACAAGUAUAUGCACAGGUCACAACAAGGAUAGGCUAGAGUUUAUUUGCGGUAAAGCCAAAUUUUAACACAUGCAGGGGAUCGUUUUCGAAAGGGUUUUUGUAAAGUUUUCCUUUAGUACCCGAAAUAUUGGGGUGGGGUUGAUCCUACACAAGGGAUCCAAGUUUUUAUCGCUAUCGGACUCCUCGUCCGCCAUAGCACACAGCACAACUGCCGGACUCUUCCAAAAUCCAACACACACACACACAUGACAUUCUUGCCCAAUUGCUAGUUAUGUGACCAAGCCGUAACUCGUCCAAUGCCGUGGACACGGCUACCCGGAUAGGUUUUAACUCUGCAGAGAGUGUACACUUUUCCCACAAGUAGGGUACCGUAUCGCGAUCACCUUAGUGACGGUACGGAUCCUAACAAAGCCAUUACCCACCUUAGCUAAGACUGGCUAGCCCUCACGGAAACACCCAAGGGGUUCACGGCUCGUCCACGAGACCGUAACUGGGACCUAAGUCACCAAGAUCUUACUCCUUUUCCAUGGGCUCCCGUUGCUCACCAGCACCCCUGAGGACUAACAAUUCAGCUAGUGGGGUUUAUGCUAGGCCGUUGCCCAUACAACGGUCGAGUGGUUGCACGAUGGCGGAAUUAGGCAAGAUGACACAUCAACUCGGUCCUUAAUUACGACAAGAUGGAUAUCUCCCGACAUUGCUCAACCACCAAGGUACGAGCACAACAAACUAGCAUCCCACACAAGGAAUACCCAUCCAUCCUGUCUACACAUCCUUUUCCCUUGAACCCGAAAAGCCAUUUUUCUCACUUGCACACACACACGUUUAUUUUCCGAAAACACCAUGGUAAUAAUGAUUGCAGUUGAGUAAUAAAUUCCUAAGCGUUCUAGCAGUGGUUAUCAUCUAAACAGAGCAAGUCGUAUUUAGAGAUAAGCAUAGGAUAGCAAGGAAUGUUCAUAACAAUCAAGGGGUGGCUAUCCAACCAUGUCUUGCGAUGAAAUAAUAUGCAUUUUGUAAAACCGGCCAAUAGGUUGUGUUUGAAAAACUAGGUAUUAAGUAUGCAUCAAAGGGUGAGAUUGGACUUGCCGUCUUCAAAGCCUUCCGGGAGUUCCGGCUCGCGGUACUGGUCCUCGGGCUCGGGCUCGCGGUCAAACUCCUCCUCGGGCUCCUCCUCGGGUAAUUCGCGAUCUACGGCACACACAAACAGACACACAAAUAAAUAAAAGAGGAAACGGUUUUUAACCGUGAGCUCCGAACAGGAAACGUGAACGGAAAAUAGGUAGAAGGAUUAUUUUUGGGAAAUUUGGAUAUAGAUCGGCGGAAGUAUUCCUGAAGAUGACGUGGUGAAAUUUGGGUUUAAUUGGAGGAAGUUUGGCGCAUGAAAUGACGGGUUAAACAUGAAUUAGGGGCUUAAACGGAGGUUUAGGACUGAUUUAUAAUAAACCAGGGACCUAUUUGUAAAUACUUUUGGAGGUGGAGGGGCUUAUCUGUGAAAAGGCUAUGAGAGAGAUGGGGGAUCUAUGUGUAAUUUGGGGAAAGUUGGGGGUCAGAUCCAAAAUCUGGGUAUUCUUAUCCUCUUCUCCAGGAACUUGGAGAGAGGGAGAGUGGGGAGAGGAUAGGCCGGCGGCCGGCCGGCCGGGCUUCGCCGGCGGCGAGCCGUGGGCGGAGGGGCGGUGGAGGGAGUUGAGGGGGCCCCAUUUUGCCUCACCUCGGGCAGGUGGCGUUGGAGGAGUGGCGGGGCACCGGCGCCCGUGGGGCGGCGGCGGCGGCAGGGAUGCGGCAGCGGCGGAUUGGCGACGGGCGGCACAGGGGUGGAGGUGGCGAGCUGGGAGGGGAAUGGUUUGGCAAGGGAGGCCGGUCGUGCCCCUAUUUAUAGGCCGACGGGGUGGUGACCGGAGGUAGGGGCCGGUUACUGGCCGGCGGCGGAAGCUCGGCGGCCACGGCACCGGUGGCAUGCCGGGCAGGAGGUAGGGCCGGCGAGGCGGCGUGGUGCGGGGCCGAGACGGCCGGCACGGGAGGGCGGCGUGCGGGACCGGGGAGGCCGGCGCCGGAGUGGAUGGCGCAGGCGGCCGGGGACCGGACUGGGCGCGCGGUUCGAGGGAGGCAGCGGCGUGGCUGGCGCCGGGACGGGCGACGGGCCCCACACGCGGGGAGGCCGAGCGGCGUGGCGCCAGGAAGAAGGAAGAGAAGGAGAGAGAAGAAGGAAGGAGGAAGAAGAAGAAAGAAGGAGGAGGAAGAAGAAAGAGCGGCGUGGACUUACUUGCAAUUUCAGCCAUGGCAUCGAGACAAUGCUCUUCCCACAUUCUAUCACGUGUGGAAGCAUGUGCGGCCCGUUCGUGGCAAUCCGGAUAGGUGCUACAGGGCCUACACGAACGAGUUUGAUGUUCUCACGCACUACCAGGUAAUUUGCUAACCAUAGUUUUUUAAGCUAAUUUGCGUAUAAUCGUAGAUGAAAUAAGUAUUGCGUGAAAAUUUUUGAAGGUGGAGUGGAAAUCGUAUGACCGUGAGCAGCUUAGCCAUAUCGUCUUUUCACCGACGUGCUACAGAGACAGAGAGCUGUGGAGGUGCACGACCCCAAUGAUAUUGUACUACGUGGUAGAGUUUCAUAUGCCGCAUAGGGUGAUGCGGCAGUUUGGGAGGAUGCAACCGUGCCCUCCUUUGGAAUUAUCGACUUCGCAGCAGCUGCACAGGUACGCAGGAAUAAAUAACUAUUGGAGGCUAUUCAAUUAACGCAAUUAACAUGUUAUACUAAUACUUCACUAAUUUCUGAUGCAGUAUCGACCGCAGAAAGCGGUACAAGGAGAAUGAUUGGAGGUUGAAGCAUGGCCAGUACCUCCUCCUGUGGCAGAACAAGCAAGGAUGCGAUCCUGAAGGUGGACCGUACUGGCGACCAAACAAUGAGUACAUAAGAUGGUACUGUACUUCGACGAGAACCAAAGUGAAACCAUCUUGGACUAAUGUGCCCAUUGAGGAUGCACCGUCUGAUGAUGACGCUGACAUAGCUGACGCGUACGACACGGUGACACGCCAUGGGACACAGCCUGAGCGUGCACCUCUCCACGACUACAUGGUAAGAUUUCGGUUUGUAAUUAUAGUAUCGUCACAUUGAUCACUUAUGGAAUGAAAACUCCUGCGUGCAGGGACAGCAGCUUGCAAGGCUCUCAAACGAGGCGGGCGUGAUUAUGGAGCACGCUGUCGGGGAAGGUGAUAGUCUGCUUCGUGCUUUUGCAGAGGUAGAAGCCCAAACUAAUUUUCACUUAUACUCGUACUAUCUUUGUAACCAUCAAUAACAUAGUCGUGAAUAUAUGGCAGAGGGUUCGUAAAAGUUGCAGGCGAAUGGCUAUGAGGAUGAACUGCAUGACAUCCUCAGAUGCGCACGACGGGGGCAAUGUCCAGGGUACUUCUUUAGGAUCACGUCGGACUGCAUUGGCGACUACCCCCAGGGCUGCAACACCGUCCACUGCGGCAGGUCCUAGCAGGAGAUCGCGAGGUAAGGAACCCGCAUCCCCUCAGGAAAGCGAGGACUCUGAAGGUGAGCAGUCUGAGGAUGAUGACCCUACGUAUGGUGAGGAACUCGAGAUUUCUCACGAUGCUCCACCUGUGACUCAGACGCAGGGAGAGUCCAGCCAGGUAUAUUCACAAGUUUCUCCAAAUUCAAUUAUACAUUUUAAUGUUCGCUCCCGAAGUGUCAUACAAAUUUUAUGAUUUGUGCCCAAUUAUUUCAUAGGAACCUACAACUCGUACCCGGUUGCCACGCCGGCGUCAUCGUUCCCGGGACCACAUCGACGUUGGCAGCGCCAAUGUGCUGCCCACGCAUCCAAGGAGGGAGCGUCGCCCAAGAGAUCCUUUUAGCCCUCCGGAUGAGCGGCGGUCACGACACUGAACCUAGCAUGUCCCAAGACUUUUGGAACCAUCACGUGUGUAAAAGACUAAGUUGGUUGUUAGGUUUAUUCAUGUCACGUUUGUAAAAGACUAAGUUGGUUGUUACAUUUUUUUUAUGUCCGUACAAUGUUAUAUGUUUGCUCCAUGAUGUACUUGUAGUUCGUGUAUUUUUUCGUAAAUGUUCAGAACAAAAAUACGUUUCGGAUUGUGCAGCGCGGUCCUGACGCCCCACCCUCCUAGGCUGAAACCUACUGAAAGGUUACUAAAAUUGACGCCCCAUCCCCCCCGGAAACCUACUGACCCCCCGCCCGAAACCUACUGAAAGGUCGUUGCGUUUGGCGCGGCACCUGACUCCUGCCGCGCCAGGUGGCCUGGCGCGGCAAGACCCCCCCCCCCCCCCGACCGAAACCUACUGAAAGUUUGGUGCAGUUGGCGCGGCAACUUCCUCCUGCCGCGCCAGGCCGGUUGGCGCGGCACCUUACUCCUGCCGCGCCAGGCCGCCUGGUGCGGCAAGAGUCCCCCCCGACCGAAACCUACUGAAAGUUUGGUGCAGGUGGCGCGGCACCUCAAUCCUGCCGCGCCAGGCCGCCUGGCGCGGCAAGGACCCCCCCCCCCCCCCCCCCCCCGCCCGAAACGUACUGAAAGUUUGGUGCAGUUGGCGCGGCACCUCAGUCCUGCCGCGCCAGGCGGCCUGGCCCGGCAAGGCCCCACCCGAACCCUUGUGGCGGUUCGUUUUGUUUGCCGCGGGACGGCCCCCACCAACCGAACUUUCAGCGGCAAGCCCCCUCCCCUGCCACCAGCGCAUUUCUGCUUCGCCAGGCGGAGUGGCGCAGCAAGCCCGUGGUUAGGAUAGAGAAUAAUAUUUAUUAGUAGGCCCGGUAAUUCUGGCUACAUUUAACACAAGGCACAUGGUACUGACAAGACGCCCACAAAGUGUUCUGCAAUAGGAUUAGAUCAGACCGGUGCGCAAUCAUGGAUAAGAAUAACACACACGUGCAUUAAAUGUUAGGGGUACGUAUUUCCCCAUUCGUACUUCGUCUUCUACUAUUAUUGCAUCACAAAUACCUUCAAGUACACCCGCUCUACCAGCGCUAUGCCUUCCUCCUCUUCCACCGCCCACUCCUCCUCGUCCUCCAUCCAAAUCAUCGAUCCCAUCGAAGCUACUACUAUUUUUUUCACACUCUAGCGCUGACUACUAGCUCGGAGAGGAAACUUUGAUGCGUUUGGACAUAGUUCUCUCGGAAAUGAAAAUAGUUUUUGACAACUAAUUGUAGUUCCCAGAAUAAACAUAAACAUAAUUUUCUCAUAAAAGAACAUAGUUUUCACAGCUACAGAGAAACAUGAUCCAGCUACAUCAACACGUUCAUCUAGUCCGAGUCACCUUCAUAUAGUAACUCGUCGUCAUCAUCAUCAUCAUCAUCAUCAUCUCCGGCAACAACAACUCCCUUGCGUUUCUUAUCGACAUUAACCUUACCAACAGGUAAAUCGGCAACAAGAGCCUUCAUCGUCUCCAUCUGUGCCUCUUCCGCUUUUUGUUGUAACUCUUCCAUUUCAAGCCUUCUUUUUCUUGCCCUAACUUUCUGCAAAUAUUGUUCCCAUGAACCCUCAGGGUAUUUCACAUUCGGAUCAACCACAUAACCUAAGCGAUCUCUUUCCUCCCUCAACCUUUGUUUCUCCAACUCCCUCUCCUCCUGCAACUUUCUCCUAUUUUCUCUCCUCUCAUUUUCAGUUAGAGGUCGUGGAUACUUGGAUCUAUUUUGCCUCCAAUACUUAAUAAUAGUUUCCCUUGCAUAAAGUCCUUUAGGUUCCACUCCAGUCUCAUGCACCAUAUCUUGAUAUAUUUUCCCCCAAAGCAAGUCGUCGUCAGGAAUAGGCACAUCAUACUUCUUCCUAAUCUUUUCUUUAAUUUCUUGUUGUUUCCUUGACUUCCAUGGUUCCGAUGUAUUUCCCAACUUUAAUAACAAAUCAUAUCGACCACAAAAAUCUUCCCAAUCACAUGUCCUUCCCUCCUGCAACAACAAUUCAAUAUUCCUUACAAAUUUGAAACAAGUUACAACCUUCAUAAAACAUAAGAGACGAGUAGUUACUAACCCAGUAAUCGCCAUGUGCAUUUCCACAGAACGAACCAUAUCCAAGUUCAGAAGGCACCACACCUUCUGUUGCCAAUAUACCACACUUGCAUCUAUCACUAGGAGAGGACACACAUGGCCACGGUGCAUUUUCACUUUCAAACUCCCGCACUUCCUCCUCUGUUGGCCACAUUGCCAUUGGGCCGUAUAUAUACUCAUUGAAAUCACACAACGGCCACCCAUCCUGCAAAAAACCCAUGACGUGAACUACUCAUAUGUAAAGUAACUACAAAACGCUGCUCCAACUUCCAAGCAAUAACAUCAAGUUAAAGUAUGAACAAUAUACUGCAAAAUUAUAACUGCUAGCUAAACGACAUACUAAUAUUCUCGUAAUAUACUUACAUGAGUCUUUAGGGAGCAUCGAAAGAAUGGAGUAAACUUAGGUGGAUCCCCUAAGUUAGGACGCAUAAGCUUAGCAGGAACACCACACUUGCACAUGGGAGGAUCCCUCACACGCCUACAAGCAGCCUCCUGCUUCUCCUCCUCGGUCAUCCUAGGUGGGUUUGGUGGAGGAGGAACCCAACGCCUAAACUGAUGGUAUGGUUUAAGCUCUGUGCUAUGAUAUGUGAAUAGGUGGAUCCUAGGAUCAUAUUUGUCGGGUCCAUCGAUCCACUGAAAGAAAUCACAAGGUGCGGCAGGCAGUGGAUCAAAAGUCCAUUUGCAUACAUAGAAGGCUCUUCCGGCUGUCUUUGGAUGCCUUGAUUGUUUCACCUCUGCUUGCGCGCCACAUCUACAAAGAGGUACCGGAAGGGCAGGAGGUACGGGACCAGCACCAUUGGACUCGCCCACAUAACGCACAUACCACCUACGCCGUUUGUAUUCACAACCAAACAACGCCAUCUCACCUGGAAAUCAAGUGCAACAAAUUUAAUACACAAAUAAACUUUACACACGUAAUCCAUACUAGCUAUAUACAUCAUUUUGAUAAAAUGUAAACACUCGAUCUACAAAAUACAAACACUGAAACAAAAAUGAGACUAAUUAAUUGAAGAUAUAAAAAAAAUACAUGUCAUGUAAACCACACAAUUGGAUGAAUAUAUACCUAAAUCGAAGCAUUCAACAAGUUCUACACGUCAAUAUCGCGGGCAGAGACUCAAUUGCGUAUGAACUACGUAUCAUCUAACACAAAACACCAUUGCAUUUCAUUGAAAUUUCAAAUCACUAACCUAACCCUAAGUCACCUAAACAUCCUCCGAUCUACCAAAUGCAAUGGUAAAACACGAGAAUAAGUAGGGGAAUACCUUCCACACGAAGUAGGGAUCGAUUUCCACUACUUUCCCCCACCAAAAACGCCAGAUUUUGGGUGGAUUUGGGGGUGGGGCGGCGGGGGCUGGCGUUGCAAGGUGCUGCUGUGUGGUGUGUCUGGAGGAGGAAGAAAGGAGGGAGGGAGGAGGAAGGGAGCCGGCGCGUCGAUCUAGUGCCGGCCCUGCCGCGCCAGGCGGGCUGGCGCGGCGAACGCCCCGCCCACGUCAGCGCCCACCUGGCGCCGCGACUCGCCGUGCCCGUGCAUGCGGCGCGGCAGCGUGUUCCUGCCGUGCCAGGCGGUCUGGCGCGGCCAAAAGGGUCACGCCGCGCAAAUUACACCCGGGUGAGGUUAUUUUUAAAAAUAAAGAAAAAAAGGGUUAAAAAUUAAAAAAAGUUCACUCAGAGAUAUAUUGUCUCAAAUAGUAAGCAAGAAUGAGUUUGACCAGUUGUAGUCGGAAAAUUGGGAGACGCUGCAGCUCAUAUGCAAAAUGAGAGACUACUUAAUUGGCAAGAGGUAACCAGAAAUACUUUCUUGUACUAUAAUAAUUAGCCAGUUCAUCUAGCUAUGGCAAUGUUGUGAGGUCUUUGUCAAUCACAUGAGCUCACCUAAUUUAUCGGCCAUUUUACGAUUGUAUUUUACGGACCCAUUCGAGCACUACGGGAAACCUCAAAGUCGCCGAGUGUAAUUACUUCACCGAGUGCAUUUUUUCGGGCACUCGGUGAAGGACCUUUUUGCCGAGUGUAAUAUCAAAAACACUCGGCAAAAAUCAAACACUCGGCGAACGACCGGUUUGCCGAGUGCCACCCAAAAAACACUCGGCAAACAUCCAAGAGACACUCGGCAAAGUUGGACACUCGGCAAACUGACGACCACGUGACUUCCCCGUGCCGCCGCCGGCAGCCCUCCGUGACGGACGUUAGUCUUUGCCGAGUGUCAAUGGAGGGCACUCGGCAAAGGCACUAGUUUGCCGAGUGUCAUGAUGGGACACUCGGCAAAGUGGCCUGUAUGCCGAGUGCUAGGGGGCACACUCGGCAUACUAUAGGGUUUGCCGAGUGUCUUUUGACACACUCGGCAAAAAUAAUUUUUUUUCCCUCCUCCACCCUCCAAACUUUUUACACUCCACAUGUAUGGCAUUUGGCACUGCAUGGUAGAAGAUGGACUAUUUUUUGACCUGUUUGCUAUAUUUAAUCAAUUAAUUUCAUUUAGAGUAAUUUUUUGAUUUAAGUCAAAUUUGAACUGCAGGUGGUUGGAAUAAUGGAAUAACAUGAGUGGAAAAAUCAUAUUCAUGUUAGUGAGUCCAAAUUGAGGUCUCACCCAGAAAAUGAAAAGAAAUUUCGAACAUUUUGCUAAGGAAACACGACUACGAACGUGUGGCCAAAUGAUUGUUUAAUUCUCAAAAAUACAAACGAAGUUUGAAAAUCAUGAGAUUUUGCAAGAUGCUAUGAUUUCGUAUGCAGAGGCUGUGGUAAAAAAUUGACAAGGUUUCGCACAAGUUUUGACAUAUGAUGUUUAGAAUUCGAAGCAUCUACCGAGAGGAUUCGUAGAAGUUGAAAGGAUCCGGUAAGAUUUUGAGACGAAUCGAUACAUGUAUUUUUCAUUGAGUCCAAUCUUUUUUAUAGGCUAUAGAGAACAUAGAUUGGUUCAUGUCAAAUUUUGGGAAUUUUUCAGAUCCGUUUGGUAAUUUUUAUUCAUUAAUUGCAUGUAUAUAAAUUUAAUAGAUAUAAAUUUAAUAUGAGCUAUAAAUCCAUGAAAUGAUGGAACAAUAUUACUUAAAAAAUGAAAUACGCAAUGUUUAGUGAAUUUGACUAGGUUUUUGCAAACUUUACAAUCUUUUAAUUACUAAAACUAGUUUCACAUGAAAUAAUAGUACUCAUUUGCCGAGUGUCAAGGGAUGGCACUCGGCAAAGAGCCUAUUUGCCGAGUGUCCAAUUUGGGACACUCGGCAAACAUCGCCGCGGUCCACCUGCCAGCCCCCUGCGAAAUCUGAAUAAAAAAAUUAAAAAAAAAUGUUUGCCGAGUGCUUAUGAUCUAGCACUCGGCAAAGGCUUUGCCGAGUGCUAGAUCAUAAGCACUCGGCAAACAUCGCCGCGGUCCACCUACCAGCCCCCUGCGUAAUCCGAAUAAAAAAAUUAAAAAAAAAUGUUUGCCGAGUGCUCCUGAUCUAGCACUCGGCAAAGGCUUUGCCGAGUGCUAGAUCAGGAGCACUCGGCAAAGUGGCCUUGGCAGCACUUAGCCACGCACGCACACGCCCGGCCACACGCACGCACGCCUUGGCAGCACUUAGCCACGCCCGCAGCCGCCCCGGCCCCUGCGCCCGCGCCGCCGCCGCCGCCCGCCCGGGCCGGGAUAAGGCCCCGACCUCCCCUGCGGCCCCGGCCGGCCUCCCCUGCGCCCCCGGCUGGCCUCCCGCGCCGGCCCCCCACGGCCGUCCUCGUCCGGCCGUUCGGCCGCCGCACCGUCCCCCGGCCGCCCCUCCGGUAAGUUGAAAAUAUUAGAGAAUGCAUGAUAACAUUGCAAAGAAUAGAGGAAGAGUAGAAAUUAGAAAAUGUUGAUUCUUCCUUGAAUGGAAAAAUAUUAGAGAAUAGAGGAAGAAUAGAGGAAGAAUAUUAGAGAAUAGAGGAAGAAUAGAGGAAGAAUAUUAGAGAAUGCAUGAAUGGAAGAGAGGUGUGGUUGGUAAUAGAGAAAAUGUUGAUUCUUCCUUGAAUGCACGGUAACAAAUUAGAAAAUGUUGAAAAGAAUAGAGGUGUGGUUGGUUGUGGUUGUGGUUGUUGGCCAUCGUGCCAACUCUUUGGUGAGAUUGUGGUUGUCGGCCAUCGUGCCGUUUCUUAUGUUGCAGGUUUUGGAAAGCUCCCCGUGCAGGGGAGAUGCUGCCGAAAUUUUGACUUAAACAAUGCUUUGUUUCUUUUGUUGCAGGAGAGGCUUACAAGGACCGUCCUCGACUCGUCACUUUGCAGGAUAGCAAGGUGAGGCAUGCUACACCUCUAUUUCCGUAUAAUGUUUGUAUAUCACGUAACCUAGUUAGGCGUCUCCCGUUCGAAAGAGAUACGGUUGGAAAUAUGCAGAUCUUUGCAUAUCUAUAAUCGUAUCUGUUUCAAAUUGUCCACGUUUUUUGGACAGCCCGAGGAUGUGUAGGUGGGUUUAGUAUCCACGGUCUACUCCGACCCGAGAUAAAAUUUCGGCAGCACCUCCCUGUUGUUCUCUAGAUACACAAUCUCCUAUCAUGGACGUGUAUUUGGAGAACAGCGGGGAGGUGCUGCCGAAAUUUUAUCUCGGGUUGGAGUAGACCAUGGAUACUAAACCCACCUACACAUCCUCGGGUGGGAUUAGGACCUAUCUUUACCUAGUAGACAAUAUAGGAAUGUGUAUAUGCAAUGUGAAUUUUGUAUUACUUAUUUAAAUGGUAGAGGAUGGAGGAUCGUCAGUGGAUGUACACGGGUCGCACUAGUCAGAAUACGUUGACCAAUGAAUGGCUUGACAAGACGGAUGCUUUCUUGGAACGGGCGUUUGCAAGUGUCAAUGGAGCUCGAUCGACUUGGUGUCCGUGCAGCAAAUGUGGAAACAUGCGUCGGCAAACCAAGCUAGACAUGGGCAAACAUCUGGUGAAGAACGGAUUUACGUCAGACUACACCAGGUGGAUCUACCAUGGUGAAUCUGACCGUGGGAGAGAGGAGGUCUUGAGACAACGCAUCGAGGAAUUUGAUGAUGAUGCCGGGGUGGGAGACAUGUUAAAUGACUAUCAUGAAGCACACUUCGAAGAGGCACGUAGGGAGGAGGAGCCAGAGGCUACCGCUAAGGCUUAUUACGAAAUGUUGUCUGCGGCACAGCAACCCCUUCACGGCCAUACCAAGAUUUCUCAGCUAGAUGCCAUUGCACGCCUAAUGGCUGUGAAGUCUCAGUUUAGUUUGAGUCGAGACGCGUUUGAUAUUAUGUUGACAGUUUUUGGAAGCCUGCUCCCGGUUGGUCACAUCUUGCCAAAGAGCAUGUAUGAGGCACAGAAACUCCUUCGUGCACUUAAGAUGCCAUACGAGCAUAUACAUGCUUGCCCGAAGGGAUGCAUCUUAUUUAGAAAAGAGUAUGCGGAAGCAAAAUACUGUGUGAAGUGUGAAUCGUCUAGAUUUCUGGAGGUUGACUAUGGUGACGGUCAGAAAAAGCAGCUCGCAAUUCCUGUGAAGGUUCUACGGUAUCUUCCUUUCAUACCGAGGAUCCAACGGCUUUUCAUGACUGAAGAAUCCGCGAAACAGAUGACAUGGCACAAAAAUAGCCGUUGCUAUAAUCCUGAGAAGCUGGUACACCCAUCCGAUGCUGAAGCCUGGAGAAGCUUUGAUGCGAUUUAUCCUGCAAAAGCUCUAGAGGCCCGUAACGUACGCAUUGCGUUGGCAACUGAUGGGUUCAAUCCCUAUGGAAUGGCGGCCGCCCCGUACACCUGUUGGCCCAUUUUCGUUAUCCCCCUGAAUCUCCCACCCGGCGUCCUAUUUCAACGACAUAAUAUAUUCUUGUCGUUGAUAAUUCCAGAGCAUCCGGGGAAUAAUAUGAGUGUGUAUAUGGAGCCUCUGAUUGAUGAUUUGCUCCGUGCUUGGGAGGAAGGGGUAUGGACCUAUGACCGAUCCACAAAGACAAACUUCAAGAUGCAUGUUUGGUACCAGUACUCACUGCAUGACUUGCCGGCAUAUGGGAUUUUCUCCGGAUGGUGUGUUCACGGGAAGUUCCCAUGCCCAAUAUGUAAAGCAUCUUUGAAGUUCAUUUGGUUGUCGAAAGGUGGCAAAUAUUCUUCGUUCGACAAACAUCGACAAUUCCUCCCUCCUGACCAUCCAUUUAGACGAGACAUGAAGAAUUUUACCAAAGAUGUUGUAGUUACAGCCCCCGCACCACCGAUGAUGACAGGGGCCGCAGUUCGUGCUCAGUUAGACGCUCUUGAGUUCAAUAAUGAAGAAGGUGGUUUUUUGGGAUAUGGCGCGCAACAUGCUUGGACGCAGAAGUCGUGCUUGUGGAAGCUUCCCUAUUUUGAUGAUCUCCUUGUUCCACAUAACAUUGAUGUAAUGCACACGGAAAAAAAUAUCGCCGAGGCAAUUUUUGGUACAAUAAUGGACAUUCCUGACAAGACAAAGGAUAACGUUAAGGCUAGAGUGGAUCAAGCGACAUUGUGCAACAAACCACAGCUAAACAUGGCGCCUCCAAGAGCUGGCAAGUCGUGGAGAAAGCCUAAGGCCGAUUUCAUUCUGACGAGGGCCCAAAGGAGGGAGGUUCUAGAAUGGUUCCAAACAUUAAUGUUCCCUGAUGGCUAUGCAGCGAACUUGAAGAGGGGAGUGAAUUUAGCAACUAUGCGAAUCAACGGGCUCAAGAGUCAUGAUUACCAUAUAUGGCUUGAGCGCCUCCUUCCGGUGAUGGUUCGAGGCUAUGUCCCUGAGCAUGUGUGGCAGGUGCUAGCGGAGUUGAGCAAUUUCUUCCGCCGGCUUUGUGCGAAGGAGUUAUCUCGUACCGUGGUUGCAGAAAUGGAAACAAUGGCGCCUGUGUUGCUCUGUAAGUUGGAGAAGAUCUUUCCUCCAGGCUUCUUCAAUCCAAUGCAGCAUAUGAUUCUACACCUCCCGUAUGAAGCACGAAUGGGGGGGCCUGUGCAGGGUCGUUGGUGCUACUCAAUUGAGAGAUGUCAAAAGGUUCUUCGAACUAAAUGUAAGAAUAAGUGCAAAAUUGAAGCAUCCAUUGCAGAGGCAUACAUUCUGGAGGAGGUGUCAAACUUCACAUCGAAAUACUACGCUGACAACCUUCCUAGCGUGCAUAAUCCACCUCCUCGUUACAAUGCUAGUGAAGAUGAAUUAAGCCUUAGCAUUUUCCGAGGGCAACUCGGAAGUGCAAGUGGUGCGACCCUCAAGACCCUUAACCAUGAAGAGUGGCGCUCUAUCAUGCUGUAUGUGUUGACCAACCUAUCUGAAGUGGAGCCGUACAUGAUGUAAGUCAUCGACAAACUUGUUUCGACGUAUUAAUGGUAUCUCUUGCCUAAACGUAUCUUUCUUGUUGGUAUAGGCAAUUUCAUCGUCAAUUCUGGCAUAAAUCAAGGCAACCGGCCCCGCACGAAGCUGAGACUCUUCUUAAAGAGGGUGCGGGAAAUGGAAUGCCCGAUUUCAUUUCUUGGUUCAAACAGAAGGUACAAUUUCAUUUCUUCGAACAUUCUCGUUCUCGUCCGAUAUAGAUUUCAACCCAGACGACCCGUCCGAGGCGUACAGCCACCCUAGCAUACACAGCCGCGUCAGCGAGUACACAAAGAUGGCUAGGGAGGUUCACGGGCCAGACUUUGAUCCGAGCUCCGAGGACAUUGAUGGACAAAUCGUGAUGAGGGUGGGAGGAGGCAAGAAGCAUGGCCGAUAUUGGAUUGGCGACGGCGUCAUCGACACGGCCUCUACUCCCACUCUCUCCCAGAUUCGAGCUAGGAGCACGGACUCGAGCCCGGCGGUACGCCCAUGACCCACCGCUGCAUAGUUCCAGAUGGAGGCUCUACAGGUUCUUUCUCUUCCAUUCAUCGUUCGUUUGUUGUUGUACUUUAGCUUUGCAUUAUAACAUUGCAAUGAAAUAUUGUAGGCCCAGGUGGAAGAAUCAAGGAAGAAACAAGAGGAGAUGGCGGCGCAGAUGGAGGAAAUGCGGCGGAGGAUGAAGGAGGAAAACCGGAUUAGGAUGGAGCAGAUGUUCCAGUACAUGCAGAACUUUGCUUCGAGCAUGGGACAGUCUUUGCCUCCGCCACCGCCGAUGAUGUUCCCUCCGCCUCAGCCACCCACGACUACUCCUGUGAGUCACUUGACACAUUGUGCUUAAGAUUCAAUAGUUUAAAUUUGACAACUUUAGAUGUUACCUCAGAAUGUCCUAUCCUAUGUGCAGAAUCAAUCGGCGGCUUCGAAUAAUGAAGAUCAAGAUUUGUCGCAGUGGUCUCCUUGGCCUCCACGGAAGUAGACUUGGUUGUGAACAAUGUGGAAACUAAAUUGUGACAAGAACUUGGAUUUAUGGAUUAUUUCGUGCUUAUGUUGAAUUAUGCCUGUGAUGUUUAUGAAUUAUGCCUGUGGUUGUGAAUUAUCCAUGUGAUUGUUUAUUACAAAUGCCUGUGAUAUGUGUAUUGUGAAUUGAGAGGGGUCCGUUAUACGUGGCAAAAUGUCGAAAAAGGGGCGGUUCUGGUCACUUUGCCGAGUGUAACACUCAGCAAAGAGGGGCCUUUGCCGAGUGUUUUGGCCUUAACACUCGGCAAAGGGGCAUUUCCCAGGUGUAGGAAAGGUCCUUUGCCGAGUGUUUUGGCCUUAACACUCGGCAAAGGGGUAUUUCCCAGGUGUAGGAAAGGUCCUUUGCCGAGUGCUAUGGUCAAGGCACUCGGCAAAGGGGCAUUUUUUGCCGAGUGCUAUGGUUAGGGCACUCGGCAAAGGGGGCCGCUUUGCCGAGUGCCCGGGACCCGGCACACGGCAAAGGGGGCCGGUUUGCCGAGUGCCCCGUGGAUGACACUCGGCAAAGGUCCGGUCUUUGCCGAGUGUUGGCACUCGGCAAAGACCCGGUGUUUGCCGAGUGCCUCCCGUUUGGCACUCGGCAAACCCGCCGUUACCCCGACGCCGUCAGUCCGCAAUUCGCCGAGUACACCUUUUCGCUGAGUGUUUUUUGGCCGUCGGCAACAUGUUUGCCGAGUGUUCGAGUUUUGACACUCGGCGAACUAGUCUUUGCCGACCACAUAUGCAUUUGUUACAUGAUUCCUCAACCAAUAUAAUGCAUGCAGGUACUUCAUCUUGAUUGAUGAUAUCUGGAAUGUAUCAGAUUGGGAGCUUGUAGAAGCUGCCUUACCUCGCAAUGACAACGGAAGCAGAAUAAUUACUACAACACGCAGUAAAACAGUAGCCGAAACAUGUGCUGGUAUUGACGCACAAAUGUACAAAGCAAAGCCACUUGGUGAUGACGAAUCUCGCAGAUUAUUCUUUAAAAGGCUAUUUCACUCAACUGAACAUUGUCCCCAAGAUUUGAUGGCAGUAUCCAGUGAUAUUUUGAGGAAAUGUGGGGGAUUACCAUUAGCCAAAUCAGUAUAGCUGGUUUAUUAGCAAACAGAAGCCAAACCAAGGAAGUCUGGGUCAAUGCAUUGAAGUAUAUUUCUGCUGCAGUUGACAAAGAUUCUCACAUUGAUAAAAUGAAAAGAAUUUUUCUGCUUAGUUACUUCGACCUUCCUCUUCAUCUAAAGAGCUGUAUGUUAUAUCUGAGCGUGUUCCCGGAGGAUUAUGUGAUUGAUUGGAGCCGGUUGAUAUUGUUAUGGGUAGCCGAAGGACUGAUUCCUGGACAAGGCAGAGAAAAUAUGGAGCAGCUUAGGAGGAGUUACUUGAAUGAAAUUAGAGGCUUGGUCCAGCCAACCAAGGUUGGGGCAGAUGGCGCAACAGCGAAAGAGUGCAGAGUUCAUGAUGUCAUACUUGAGUUUAUUGUAUCAAAGGCUGUGGAGGACAAUUUUGUUACUAUAUGGAAUUGUAAUGGGUUUUCUGAAAAUUAUUCUUCUAACAAGAUUCGCCGUUUAUCUAUCCAAAAUGGCAUUUCUAGGCGGUCUAAAGAGAUGGAGAGGAUAAAAGAACAUGCAACUCAUAUUCGAUCAAUUAAUAUUUUUGACCCUAAUUCAGUGCUGCUAAUUAAAAACACCUCUAUGUUUUUAAGUAGCCAAGUCUUGCGAGUGCUGAAUACAGAAACUCAGGAUGAGUUACUUGAAGAAGAUUGCUAUCUUGGACAUGUCAAAAGUUUUGGUCAAAUGAAGUACUUGAGGUUAAAAUUUUGGUCAUCAAUAUGCCACUGCAAACUCCCAAAAGAUAUAGAAAAGCUGCAACAUCUAGAGACACUAGAUGUUAGGAAUACCCGCAUUAAAAAACUACCGGCUAGCAUUACCCAACUGCAGAGAUUAGUGCGUUUUCUUGUCAAUGCUGAGGUAAAACUACCUGAUGGGAUUGGAAAUCUGCAGGCAUUGGAAGAGCUAUCAUUGAUCGGGUUGAGUUUUCAAACUAUCAAGUUUAUCCUGAGUUGGAAUUUAUUGGGAGUACCCUUAUGCAGUAGUACGUCACGUGGACGUGGAAGUAUGUAUCUCGUCACUCUCCAAGCUUAUCACAACCCUUCGAAAACUGCACGUCGUGGAUGCUCCAUUCAUGUCUUCGUGUGGCUCUACUCCACCACCCCUUCGGAGGCUCAUCUUUUACGGACGUGGUGGACCAUCAAAUCAUCAGCUCAGCAGUCAAGGAUUCCAGCAUUUAUAGUCAAGUCUAAUUUCGUGUGUGCUGAUGAGGGGGUGUUGGAGUUUGAGCCAGGAGCCAAGAUUAAUUAUGAGCACGGGGUCAAGUUGUGGCUGGUGGCACGGGGUCAGUUCAAUUAUGAGCAAGGCGGCCUGGUCCUUGGGCUGCAGAAUCUGGCAGGCCUCAGACAUGUUGCUCUUACUAUUGACUGUGCGUGAUUUGGAGGAUGACAUCAGGGUUGCAGCAGGCGCCCAUCCCAACUGUCCCAUGGUCCAGCUGGUCAAAAAAGUACGUCAAGAUUGUAUGGCUCAAGGGUGCAGCAGGCGCCCACGCAACCAUCCCAUGCUAGAAGCACAAUGACCAAGUAAAUGCAUGGUGUGGAGAAUAAAUAUCAUUAUCAAUGAUGAUCUUUUUUUUCCUGUUUCAAGAGCACGUUGGAAUUAAACAAGGUUAAUUCGAUUUGUUUUCAUCUUAGUUUUUGCUUUAUGACAACAUGUGUGCGCAUGCAGAUUGGCCUCUCGGAUCUAUGGAGUGCUGAUAUGUGUUGCUUGAUAUGAUGGUGUUGUGUCGAGGUGGGUUUGGGAUGUGUGCUUGGAGCGAAGGCAUUUGCCCUUCGCCGGGCCAACGAUGCUGACACCUGUUGGUGCCACAUCCCUCUCUAUUGACUACGAAGGAGUGACUACGUUAAGCUCUUCCUCCAUAUAUGGAUUGUAGGUUGCUACGUAAUUUUGAGACGUAUGUUGAGUUUAAGAUCUUAUGUUGUUUAUCACUUACUGGAUCUCUUUCUUCUUUCUUUCUUUUAUAUUUCCUUUUGACAAGGUUGUGUGUUGUUGCAUAGGCGGCUGGAAUCUAAGCUUUCUUCAUCCAAAAGAAGAUUAUGUAAAACAACCAGAAAGAAACAAAAGGGGGGCGGUUAAUCUCCUUCUAAGGGGAUUAGGGUGGGGGGAUUUUGACUGGUAGGGGAUGUUUUGUAGGAGGAUGUGCACCACAACAUAAGUAACAUGGAAUCUGUGGGUACACUUUUGGCAACAUACCUUCAAACCACAUUCUAUGCAACAAUAAUCUUGUGCAAACCAUAUAUAGCUAUGCCCACCAUUUUUAGAACAAUGUUCAAUAGACUACCAUAUGUAUAUGAACGUGCACGAUGGAUAUUAGAGACAAAACAUAGUAGUAGUAUAACUUGCACAAAACUACAUUUAUGAUCUUUUGUAUUUGAGCCAGGAAGUUCUUUCAAAAGAUAACCCACAAGAAAGCACGCACUGGUCUUGUUGUGCACUAUACGUUAGGUGUUGCAAUUGCAUAUAAUCUGUUUUAUUUAGUUAGUUUGAACAACCGUGCAUGGCUAGGCACUUCCGAAAGGCUUCACUUCAAGUAAUUGUCAAACCAGUCGAUCAUUAGACCAAGAGCUUGCUCAGCAGUUUAUAUCUACAAGCAAAUCCAUGUGCAACUCCUGGAAAGACCUUGGCGUAGUAGGGAAUCUGCAAACAACCAAUGCCACAAAAAUGAGCUUUUCCAACUGAUAUAUAGUAUCCUCUAUGACGGAAUCACUAGGAACUCACCUCUGUUCUAUGACGCAAUACACUCACAUACUGGUACACUAGUUUUGGCGGUGCGACUUCGUCAUAUUGAGCUCCAAGGAUCUCGAUUGGACAUUUAACCUCUGUUUUGAAUGGUCAUAUAGUUAGCAUACGAAAUUAAGCACUUAAGUUCAGUUCCAAAGACAUCUCAAUCGAUGCUGUCUGGGAGGUUGCAAACACAAAGAAAAGGAGCAAACCUUUCAUGUCAUCAGUAGUCACAAUGUAAGGAUGAGAAAUGGAAACUACUUUAACAUCACUGGUUUUCCCCAUCUCUACACUAAACUUUCCUGUCAGUUACGCGGCAAUAGGAGAUAAGAAUUUUAUGCUCUGUAUGUUGCCUGAAGAAGGAUUUUGGAAGCUGGAAUUUCACUCACCACCCCAGCAAUAACCUCCCACCCCGAUGGACUUUCCUUCCUUUUUGAAAGCAGCAAAGAGUGGCUUGGCGUCUUUGGCAGCUUUUACCUGCCAGAUCGAUCGGAUACUCAAAUCAAUAUAUUUUCAACUCAUGAUGCAAUGAGCAUAAGAUGAAAUUUGAAAGGGACAUGGAACAGACCUGGGAGUGGAGCUUGAUCCACUCUGAAAUGUUUUUACUUGAGUCUAAAUAAUCUCCAUUGAAGAAAUCAGGCACCACAACAAAGUAUCCAGCCUCGCUAACUUUAUCGGCUAUCUGUCUGCAUCAUUAAAAGAUCAAGAAAGGGAUGAACAAUAGCUAGUACAGAGAGGGAUUCUUGCGUCGUUGUACUCCAAACAAAAUGCAAUCUAUCUCAUAUGAGAAUUAACUUUCACUGGAUUGUCUUUUUUUUGGAAAAAAAAACUGUACUGUAUUUUACUCUGUACAGAAGCACAAAGCAUUGUUAUGUUUUUUAAAAAAAGAUAGUCAAAUAAAAUUUGCUCUAGAUCUUCAAAGUCUCUAAAAUCAUUUGUUGAUAUUUAAAAGCAGUUUGCUAUGGUUAUGAUUGCGUUGCUACUUGCUACAAGCAUCAUAAGGGAGUACUAAGCAGGAAAAAUCGAAAGCAUGCCAGCCGAAUGAUCUAGUUCUUCAAAGUCUCUAAAAUCUGGAGAGAUGCUAGUUGACCAAGAACAGAGCAUCUUGAUCUACGAUAGUAAGCCAGAGUAGAGCAAGAAAGAACACAAAAUUUGGGAAUUAAAAGACCGUAGAUAUAUUUAUGUACCUGAGUAAAGGUGCCUCGAACCCUGAGGAAAUCAAUCAAAAAGUGGAGAAAAAUUUCCUGUCAAAACGUACGCCCAAAUUGACUAGAAACUGCAUAAGUGUAGUACUACGGUCGAAACACCAACCGAAAACAUCGGAGGCGAGGACGAUGGCGCGGCUUGAGCUUGCAGCUGAAGGAUUGAAAGGGCGAUAAAAGGAGGUGAAUGGGAGCCUAUAAAAAUUCUCAACAAGAAUAAGGCCUAUGUCCCAAAUGCAACCCCAAAGCACACAGCACGUUGUAUCGUCAAGAUGACGCAAGUCAACUCGUGACAAGCUCAUCCUAGGAAUGAUACACGUAUCGAAAGCAAAGUUCAAAGUGAUCCGAAUACGUGCUUGACAUGGCGGAAACAUAAAGUGACUCACAAUCAGAUUCAAGCAAGCCCACAAAAAACUUACUCAACUAAGCAUAAUUAGCAAGAGAGAAAACACAUUAGUACUCAAGCAAGUGAACAAGUAUUAGUUGGCUAAGUGUUAGGAUUAACAGAGGAUUAGAAAAGCUAAUUUAACACCGAACAACAAUGGAUUAGAACGGUGCUAUCAGCCAUGUGCAAGAACUAAUAAUGAUUACUCAAUGAUUUGAUCACUGUAGCUAGAAAGCAACUCUUCGUGGCACGAAGGCACUACCUGCUACUUGCGUUGCUUGCCUGCUCGCUGCUUGGCUUGUCGCCGUGCUUGCGGCCUGGUCUGGCCCGCGACGCAUCAGCUACUCCUGGGUCGCAAGCUCCAGACGGCCUGCUAGCGAUCAGCACCUGGGGCAGCCUGCCAACUCGCUGGGCUGCCGGCCUGCGAAGGCUGCUGGGCCGCUGCUUGCUUCCACCGGCCCGCGUGCCGCUCGCUGUGAACGGCCUGGCAGCAAGUGUAGCGCUGCUCCGUCACCUGCGCACCCGAACAGAAGGAAACGAAGAACAGAGAGAAGAACAGCAAGAACACCCAAGAACACACGUAACUUCGAAUCGUGAGAUCUCCUUCCGCACUCCACGCAUCAAGAUGAAACUUGACCCAAGGAUGCACUACCCUAGGAAAAAUAGAUCCAUGAGACAAAUCACGAAAAUCUCAAGUAUUCAUCGCAAAUCUUAGGGAAAAUCAAAACCCUAACUCAAACUCGGUUUUGGAAGAAACUCAAAAUUCAAGUCGGAUUCGUGAGAUAUAUGGAAGGGGAUCAUAUUAAAGAAGCUCCACGAAGUCCUAGCAACAUUCCCCUUUAACCAAACUCACGAGAUUCGGGCUCCAACAAGAUGAACGAAAAUUCUCAAAAAUGAGUCCAAAAAUAGGAAAAAAGAAAAACGCUCGGGAACAAAGAUUUUGCACGAUUUGAGACAACAAACCACACUAAAUCACGAGAGCAUCUUCUUUACAAAAGAGGGCUAGCCUCCUCCCUUCAUCCACCCACUAAAAGAUGAAAAAAUCAAGAGAAAAGAGUAAUCACUCUCUAAUCUCCCUCUCUCCUCUCACUUUAAGCACAUGACUAGCCUCUAAGCCAAAAGAUAAUGAGUUGCUAAGCAAAGAGGUGCUGAAAUAACCAGCCCCCCAUCCCUAUUUAUAGUCCAGGACGAAAGACUAUACUACCACUACAGCUAUAACUAAGAUAACUACCCACGCAGGGGCAUUUUGGUCCAAGUUUUUAUCUGCGCUAAGACUAUACUACCCCUAUAGCUACAACUAAGACUAUAAUGUUUUGCUUUUCGUGGUCGAAAAGAUUAGAUAGAUAUUUUGUACUGUAGUUGCUCAUCACUCCAAUUAUGUACACUUCUUCGCGCGUUAGGUCCCGUUUGGAUACCCUGCUAAAGUUUAGCACCUGUCACAUCGGAUGUUUGGAUCCUAAUUAGGAGUAUUAAACAUAGGCUAAUUACAAAAUUAAUUGCACAUAUGGAGUCUAAUUCGCGAGAUGAAUCUAUUAAGCCUAAUUAGUUCAUGAUUUGAUAAUGUGGUGCUACAGUAACAAUUUGCUAAUGAUGGAUUAAUUAGGCUUAAUAGAUUCGUCUCGCAAAUUAGCACAGGAUUCUGCUAUUAGUUUUAUAAUUAGCUCAGGUUUAGUCCUCCUAAUUAGCAUCCGAUCAUUUGAUGUGACACUGUUAAAAUUUAGCACAUAAAUAUCCAAACACCCCCUUAUUUCAUUUUUGAUCUUGGAGUCGCCGCUGCCGACCUCGAGACUGGACUAGGGUGGCUGGCUUAAUCCCACCCUGCUGGGAUCAGCCUCCAUGGGGGCGACAGAUGCCACUGCCUAGGCAUGGUGGUGGCUGUUGCUGUAGCCCAGCGUUUGCAGGUGUACUGUGUCCCUGACAAUAUGUGUGCGCAUGCAGAUUGGCCUCUCGGAUCUAUGGAGUGCUGAUAUGUGUUGCUUGAUGGUGUUGUGUCGAGGUAGGUUUGGGAUGUGUGCUCGGAGCGAAGGCCUUUGUCCUUCGCCGGCAAACGAUGGUGGCGCCUGUUGGUGCCAUAUCCCUCUCUAUUGACAACGAAGGAGUGACUACGUUAAGCUCUUCCUCCAUAUAUGGAUUGUAGGUUACUAGGUAAUUUUGAGACGUAUGUUGAGUUUAAGAUCUUAUGUUGUUUAUCACUUGCUGGAUCACUUUCUUCUUUCUCUCUUAUAUUUCCUUCUGACAAGGUUGUGUGUACUACCUUGUUACAUAGGCUAGAAUCUAAGCUUUCUUCAUUCAAAAGAAGAUUAUAUAAAAUAACUAGAAAGAAACAAAAGGGGGCGGUUAAUCUCCUUCCAAGGGGAUUGGGGUGGGGGAGAGGGGGAUAGGGAUUUUGACUGGUAGGGAAUGUUUUGCAGGAGGAUGUGCACCUCAACAUAGGAGGCGUUUGGUUCCCUUUGCUUAUUUUGAGCACGUGUCACAUCGAAUGUUUAGAUACUAAUUAGGAGUAUUAAACAUAGACUAUUUACAAAACCCAUUACAUAAGUGGAGGCUAAAUGGCGAGACGAAUCUAUAAGCCUAAUUAAUCCAUCAUUAGCAAAUGUUUACUGUAGCAACACAUUGUUAAAUCAUGGACUAAUCAAGCUUAAUAGAUUCGUCUCGCAAUUUAGCCUCCACUUAUGUAAUGGGUUUUGUAAAUAGUCUACGUUUAAUACUCCUAUUAGUAUCUAAACAUUCGAUAUGAUGGGUGCUGAAAAUAAGCAAGAGGAACCAAACCAGGCCAUAAGUAACAUGGAAUCUAUGGAUACACUUUUGGCAACAUACCUUCAAACCACAUUCUAUGCAACAAUAAUCUUGUGCAAACCAUAUAUAACUAUGCCCACCAUUUAUAGAACAAUGUUCAAUAGACUACCAUAUGCAUAUGAACGUGCACGAUGCACUACGAGAAUGUCCAAGUUUGCCGUGUGUCCACGGCACACGACGAAGCCAAAAAAACCUCAGCAAAGCCUUUGCUGAGUGGGCAUACAUAGUGCCGGUAAAAAUUUCUUUGCUGAGUAUUUUUUAUCGGGCACUCAGCAAAGACUUUUUUUUUAAGAAACAGGAGGGGGAGACCCCUACUGAAUUUAUUAAAGAGCUAAACAACAAAAGGGUCCAAAUACAAAUCAAGACCGAGAGAUCAAAAAUAAAAUAAAAAAGCAAGAACCAAAAGUAAGAACUGGGAACAACAUUUACAGGGAAUCUACCAAGCUAACAUAAGUGACUGGAUCUGGGUCUUGGCCCUAUGAAGAGCUACCAUGCGAAAUUCCGAGACAAAUUUCCGUUUGAUGUUCCUGAUCAUCGGAGCAGAAUUAUUGAAGAGCAGACUUUGCCAGUGCUAAAAUUGACGCUCGGAAAAAAAAAGCAACAUGACAGUGCGAAAACGGUCAUGCCACGUUUGCCGAGUGUCUAAUGGCAUGGACACUCCACAUGUUUGCCGAGUGUCCACCGAAAAAAUCCUCGACAAACAUGAGUCAUUUUAGACUUUAGGCACAAUUUCCUAAAGGAACACCAGAAAUUUCACAUAAAUUUUCACAUUAGCUGUGUAAAUAAUAGCAAAGUUCUUGCAAGGUGACCAUACUUGCAAGGUAUGCUCGUACAAGUUCAAAUUUGUUGUAAAUCUGCAGUUACAGUCCGAACAUAUAAUGACCUGAACAGCAAAAAGAUCUGCCUCGACAGCACCAGGGGAGGUGGGAGCUCACUCUUUACUGCUUAGCCUAAAUUUCAUAUAUUCCAGUAUAUUUUUUUUAUGGAAGAGGUAACAAUUUUCUUGUGGGAGAUUGUUAGUACAACUGAGCUAAUGGCAUCAUGCACGGUAGAAAAAACGGGGGGCCCUGGCGUGGCGUCCCUGUAGGAAAUGGGGAACGUGUGCCACGCCACACAUGCACGCGUGCGUGCUUAAUUUCAAGGGAAUCAAAUUCUGCACUCGUCCGGCUAGUCUCACUCUCACACCCGACCAUCAUCAGCGAACUAAUGAAGCGAACUUUUCAAGGCCACGCACAUGUAUAAACCGCUUGAGAACACACUUGUACUAAUGAGUUCUCUGUCACAUGAUCCAACAGAUGGUGAUCUCGGCCACGACGAACGACGAUACGAUACACUCGCUACGGUACUACCUGCAGAGAUUCUUGACCUGCUGCCAUUCGUUUCUCGCGCUGGCACGCAGCCUGGUCGUGAUCCUGUGUGCUUUUGCUUGCAGAUGGCGGUUUGAGAUCCUGGAGAUCCAAAUCCUCUCCGCGAUUCUGGUAGUCGUAGGGAGGCUCAGGCUCGCGCGCGCGCGGGGCCUCGCCUCGCACGCCCCUCGAAGCGCGCACGCCAUUGUUGCGUCCCCGCGACUUCCACCGCAGGCAGGAGGGAGAGGGACCGAGGGAGUAGUGCCUGCACCAACUCCCUGGGGGCCGCGGCCAACCGCAGCGCGACGUGUGUCCACUCCGACACGGCGGGCGGGGAGGAGUAAAGAAACCGGGCAGCGCGGGCCACGACCCCACGAAACACCGACGAUUAGUUUAGGUCUUGUUGGAAGUGCCAAAUUAUUGUUACAGUACUGUAUCAUACUGUAGUAUUUCAUUUGUAUUUAUGAAUUAUUGUCCAAACAUUGACUAAUUAGUUUUAAAAGAUUCGUCUCGCAAAGUACAACAAAACUGUGCAAUUAGUUUUUAAUUUCGUCUACAUUUAGUACUUCAUGCAUGUACCGCAAGUUUGAUAUGAUAGGGAAUCUUUUUUUUGCAUAGUGUCAAAGUUGGCAGUGGAGGGUGAACUAAACAAGGGCUUAUAUGCGGCCGCUACGCUACGUACUCCAGCCGGGACAGAAGGAAUCCGGCCACACCUUCAAAAAAAAAAACCAGGAACCCGGGCACCGAGCGAGCCCUUGACCAAGUCCACGCGGUCCAGACAAGCCCACUGGCCAUUGGAAAAUUCGACCCCACAGGAAAUCCUAAGCGAUGUAAUCAUCCAUAUGUGGGUCCAAGACAUGAUUUUUUUGGCUGUGAACACUGCACAGCAACUCGCGAGAAUCUUUUCCCUCAGCCUUUUUUAUCUGUAGGUUUUGGGAGCACCGAGAGGAGGAAAAAUUGGCUUAAGAUGGAGUUGUUAUUGGGUAUGCGGAAAAGUAGGGAACGAAGUUGGACAACUGUUGGAGCUUUGGUUUUUCACCUUGGUUACCAAAACUAGUCAUUGAAAUCAUAUACCGGGCACUCUUGGAGAUGCUAUAACUGAUGAUCUAGUACAUAUAUCUUGAACAUUAUUUUUUUUUAAAAUCUGGUCGGUAGCAGUUAAACUAAUUGUCUAAACCAAUUAUCUAGUACCUAAACCAAUUAUUGUCUCGACCACCUAAACUAAUUGUUGUCUCUUGCACUGUAUCUUCCAGAUGGUAAAAGUAAAUAAAAAAAAUGAAAAUCGGGGUUGGUGGGGUAAAGUGCUCAUGAGACAAAGAGCAUCGUGGGAGGUGAGGCCGUGCUUUACAAAGCACUUUCUCGGGUCGUUCGCAUCUACGACUGUGAGGCCCUGAGAAUUGAAGCGCCCUUCCUCUCUGACACCACCACAAGCUAGCAGAGCUGUAGAGCCAGCUUCCCAGUCGAGAUGGCCGAACUGAUGGCGAGCGCCGCCACGAGCGUGAUGGGGUCCGUCAUCGGCAAGCUGACUGCCAUGCUCGGCGACAAGUACCAGUUCGCCAGAGACGUGGAGCAAGGGAUCCGCUUCCUGAAGGAUGAGCUGAGCAGCAUGGAUGCCGUGCUGCAGAAGCUCGCAGACAAGGACGACGACCAAAUGGAUCCAAUGGAUAAAGAUUGGAGGAACAAGGUGCGUGAGCUAUCCUUCGAUAUUGAGGAUUGCGUCGAUCGCUUCAUGCUCAAUCACAGCCAUGGAGGUUCCAAGGCUAACUUUGUUCGCAAAGCCGUGCGUAAGGUGAAGAUGUUGUGGGAGGACCAGGGCAUAGCAGGGGAGAUCCAAAAACUCAAGAAACUCGUGACAGAGCAGAGUGACCGGGCCAAACGCUACCCUGUGGGAAUGCGGUGCGACUCACCUCAGCCGGUGCGCUUGGAUCCUCGAGCAACUGCCCUCUUUUCAGGAGGCGAGGGAUCCUGUGGGAAUUGAUGGUCCUCGCGAGGAAAUCAUCCAGCUAUUACAAGUUGAAGAAAAGCAGCACAAGGUGGUGUCCAUCUAUGGUACCGCUGGGCAGGGGAAGACUACUCUAGCCAUGGAGGUAUACCGAAAAAUCCCACAAGCAUUUGAUUGCAGGGCUUUCGUGUCUGUAUCUCAGACUCUGGACCUGAAGAAGCUACUCAGAGAUAUAUUGUCUCAAAUAGUAAGCAAGAGCGAGUUUGACCAGUUGCAGUCGGAAAGGUGGGAGACGGAGCAGCUCAUGCGCGAAAUGAUAGACUACUUAAUUGGCAAGACCAGAAUUACUUUCUUGUACUAUAAUAAUUAGCCAGUUCAUCUAGCUAUGGCAAUGUUGUGAGGUCUUUGUCGAUCACAUGAGCUCACCUAAUUUAUCGGCCAUUUUACGGUUGUAUUUUACGGACCCAUUCGAGCAUAAAACUACCACAUAUGCAUUUGUUACAUGACUUCAGCUGUUCAACAUAUCUACCAAAAGCCAUCGCUAAAUAUCUUACAACAAGGUCAAGUCAACUGCCCAUGAAUGUAGGCGUAUGUGGUUGGAGUUGGCCUGUACUAUUGUGCGCAAAUGAUAUUUGAGUAGAAAAUUAUUUACUCUAUACCAUCAAAUAAUUCCAGAUUCAGUAAAAUUAUUUCUUGAUAACUUCAACCAUGUUUGUUUCGUAUAGCCAUUCUAAAUAUCCAUAAAAAUCUUCUUUAAUCCGUCUCUUUACUUUUCUCCAAUAUCUUUCACCAUGAUAUGCUCUAUAUGUUGAAUAGUUAUGAUGGCCUCGUAACAUGAUUCCUCAACCAAUGCAUGCAGGUACUUCAUCUUGAUUGAUGAUAUCUGGAAUGUAUCAGAUUGGGAGCUUGUACAAGCUGCCUUACCUCGCAAUGACAACGGAAGCAGAAUAAUUACUACAACACGCAGUAAAACAGUAGCCAAAACAUGUGCUGGUACUGAUGCACAAAUGUACAAAGCAAAGCCACUUGGUGAUGACGAUUCUCGCAGAUUAUUCUUUAAAAGGCUAUUUCACUCAACUGAACAUUGUCCCCAAGAUUUGAUGGCAGUAUCCAGUGAUAUUUUGAGGAAAUGUGGGGGAUUACCAUUAGCCAUAAUCAGUAUAGCUGGUUUAUUAGCAAACAGAAGCAAAACCAAGGAAGUCUGGGUCAAUGCAUUGAAGUAUAUUUCUGCGGCAGUUGACAAAGAUUCUCACAUUGAUAAAAUGAAAAGAAUUUUUCUGCUUAGUUACUUUGACCUUCCUCUUUAUCUAAGGAGCUGUAUGUUAUAUCUGAGCGUGUUUCCGGAGGAUUAUUUGAUUGAUUGUAGACGGUUGAUAUUGUUAUGGGUAGCCGAAGGACUGAUUCCUGGACAAGGCAGAGAAAAUAUGGAGCAGCUUGGGAGGAGUUACUUGAAUGAGCUGAUCAAUAGAAGCUUGGUCCAACCAACCAAGGUUUGGGCAGAUGGCGCAACAGUUAAAGAGUGCAGGGUUCAUGAUGUCAUACUUGAGUUUAUUGUAUCAAAGGCUGUGGAGGACAAUUUUGUUACUAUAUGGAAUCGUAAUGGGUUUUCUGAAAAUUAUUCUUCCAACAAGAUUCGCCGUUUAUCUAUCCAACAUGACAUUUCUAGGCGGGCUGAAGAGAUGGUGAAGAUAAAAGAACAUGCAGCUCAUAUUCGAUCAAUUAAUAUUUUUGACCCUAAUUCAGUGCUGCUAAUUAAAAACACCUCUAUAUUUUUAAGUAGCCAAGUCUUGCGAGUGCUGAAUAUAGAAGAUCAUGUUUGGGAGGAGUUAGUUGAAGAUUACUGCUAUUUAGGACAUGUCAAAAGUUUUUGUCAAAUGAAGUACUUGAGGUUAAAAAUUUGGAUAUCACUAUGGUUCGAACUCCCAAAAGAUAUAGAAAAGCUGCAACAUCUAGAGACACUAGAUCUUAGGGGUACCUGCAUUGAAAAACUACCGGCUAGCAUUACCCAACUGCAGAGAUUAGUGCGUCUUCUUGUCAGUAUUGAGGUAAAACUACCUGAUGGGAUUGGAAAUCUGCAGGCAUUGGAAGAGCUAUCAUCGAUCAGUUUGGAUUUUCAAACUGUCAAGUUUAUCCAAGGGCUCGGCGAUCUGACCAAUCUGAAGGUACUUGGAAUUAAUUGGAAGCACACUUAUGCAGGAGUACGUCGCGUGGACGUGGAAGACCACAAGGAAGCAUGUAUCUUGUCACUCUCCAAGCUUGUCACAACCCUUCGAGAACUGCAAUUCAUGCAUGAUGUUCCUGAUGACGCACUUUCAUUCAUGGCUUCGUUUGCCUCAUCUUUAACUCCACCACCCCUUCGGAGGCUCGUCUUUCACGAAGGUGGUGGAUCAAGUGUCGUGCCCCAUCAAAUCAUCAGCUCGCUAGUCAACCUGACCCACCUCAAUAUUGGACUAGUAAGCCAGGAAGGGAUAAAUAUCCUAGCAAGUUUGCCCAUGCUCCUCUCUAUUACUGUUCGCGUUUCCUUUGAAGAGGGUAGUUCUGGAAUCAGGUAUACAAUCAGCAGUCAAGGAUUCCAGCGUUUAGUCAAGUUUAAUUUCGACUGUUUUCAUGAUGGGGGGGGCGUUGGAGUUUGAGCCAGGAGCCAUGCCAAAGCUCCAAAGGCUCGAGCUGUACCUGGUGGCACGGGGUCAGUUCAAUUAUGAGCAAGGCGCCCUCGUCCUUGGGCUGCAGAAUCUGGCAAGCCUCAGACAUGUUGCUCUUGGUAUUAACUGUUAUCCAGCUACUCCUGAUGAGGUGCAGGAUUUGGAGGAUGACAUCAGGGUUGCAGCAGGCGCCCAUCCCAACCGUCCCGUGGUCCAGCUGGUCGGAAAACUAAAUGAACAUUGGAUGACUUAGGGUGCAGCAGGCACCCAGCUACCUAGAAGCACAAUGACCAAGUAAAUGCAUGGUGUGGAGAAUAAAUAUCAUUAUCAAUGAUGAUCUUUUUUUCUGUUUCAAGAGCACGUUGGAAUUAAACAAGGUUAAUUCGAUUUGUUUUCAUCUUAGUUUUUGCUUUAUGACAACAUGUGUGCGCAUGCAGAUUGGCCUCUCGAAUCUAUGGAGUGCUGAUAUGUGUUGCUUGAUAUGAUGGUGUUGUGUUGAGGUGGGUUUGGGAUGUGUGCUCGGAGCGAAGGCAUUUGCCCUUCGCCGGGCCAACGAUGCUGACGCCUGUUGGUGCCACAUCCCUCUCUAUUGACUAUGAAGGACUGACUACGUUAAGCUCUUCCUCCAUAUAUGGAUUGUAGGUUGCUAGGUAGUUUUGAGACGUAUGUUGAUUUUAAAAUCUUAUGUUGUUUAUCACUUACUGGAUCUGUUUCUUCUUUCUUUCUUUUAUAUUUCCUUUUGAUAAGGUUGUGUGUUGUUGCAUAGGUGGCUGGAAUCUAAGCUUUGUUCAUCCAAAAGAAGAUGAUAUAAAACAACCAGAAAGAAACAAGGGGGGGGGGGGGGCGGUUAAUCUCCUUCCAAGGGGAUUGGAGGGGAUUUUGACUGGUAUGGGAUGUUUUGCAGGAGGAUGUGCACCUCAACAUAAGUAAUAUGGAAUCUGUGGGUACACUUUUGGCAACAUAUCUUCAAACCACAUUCUAUGCAACAAUAAUCUUGUGCAAACCAUACAUAGCUAUGCCCACCAUUUCUAGAACGAUGUUCAAUAGACUACCAUAUGCAUAUGAACGCGCACGAUGGAUAUUAGACACAAAACAUAGUAGUAGUAUAACUUGCACAAAACUACAUUUAUGAUCUUUUGUAUUUGAGCCAGGAAGUUCUUUCAAAACAUAACCCACAAGAAAGCACGCACUGGUCUUGUUGUGCACUACACGUUAGGUGUUGCAAUUGCAUAUAAUCUCUUUUAUUUAUUUAGUUUGAACAACCGUGCAUGGCUAGGCACUUCCGAAAGUCUUCACUUCAAGUACUUGUCAAACCAGUCCAUCAUUAGACCAAGAGCUUGCUCAACAGUUUUGACAGCAAAAGGGUCGGUGGUAUUAUAUCUGCAAGCAAAUCCAUGUGCAACUCCUGGAAAGACCUUGGCGUAGUAGGGAAUCUGCAAACAACCAAUGCCACAAAAAUGAGCUUUUCCAACUGAUAUAUAGUAUCCUCUAUGACGGAAUCACUAGGAACUCACCUCUGUUCUAUGACGCAAUACACUCACAUACUGGUACACUAGUUUUGGCGGUGCGACUUCGUCAUAUUGAGCUCCAAGGAUCUCGAUUGGACAUUUAACCUCUGUUUUGAAUGGUCAUAUAGUUAGCAUACGAAAUUAAGCACUUAAGUUCAGUUCCAAAGACAUCUCAAUCGAUGCUGUCUGGGAGGUUGCAAACACAAAGAAAAGGAGCAAACCUUUCAUGUCAUCAGUAGUCACAAUGUAAGGAUGAGAAAUGGAAACUACUUUAACAUCACUGGUUUUCCCCAUCUCUACACUAAACUUUCCUGUCAGUUACGCGGCAAUAGGAGAUAAGAAUUUUAUGCUCUGUAUGUUGCCUGAAGAAGGAUUUUGGAAGCUGGAAUUUCACUCACCACCCCAGCAAUAACCUCCCACCCCGAUGGACUUUCCUUCCUUUUUGAAAGCAGCAAAGAGUGGCUUGGCGUCUUUGGCAGCUUUUACCUGCCAGAUCGAUCGGAUACUCAAAUCAAUAUAUUUUCAACUCAUGAUGCAAUGAGCAUAAGAUGAAAUUUGAAAGGGACAUGGAACAGACCUGGGAGUGGAGCUUGAUCCACUCUGAAAUGUUUUUACUUGAGUCUAAAUAAUCUCCAUUGAAGAAAUCAGGCACCACAACAAAGUAUCCAGCCUCGCUAACUUUAUCGGCUAUCUGUCUGCAUCAUUAAAAGAUCAAGAAAGGGAUGAACAAUAGCUAGUACAGAGAGGGAUUCUUGCGUCGUUGUACUCCAAACAAAAUGCAAUCUAUCUCAUAUGAGAAUUAACUUUCACCGGAUUGUCUUUUUUGGGAAAAAAAAACUGUACUGUAUUUUACUCUGUACAGAAGCACAAAGCAUUGUUAUGUUUUUUAAAAAAAGAUAGUCAAAUAAAAUUUGCUCUAGUUCUUCAAAGUCUCUAAAAUCAUCUGUUGAUAUUUAAAAGCAUUUUGCUAUGGUUAUGAUUGCGUUGCUACUUGCUACAAGCAUCAUAAGGGAGUACUAAGCAGGAAAAAUCGAAAGCAUGCCAGCCGAAUGAUCUAGUUCUUCAAAGUCUCUAAAAUCUGGAGAGAUGCUAGUUGACCAAGAACAGAGCAUUUUGAUCUACGAUAGUAAGCCAGAGUAGAGCAAGAAAGAACACAAAAUUUGGGAAUUAAAAGACCGUAGAUAUAUUUAUGUAGGUGCCUCGAAUCCUGAGAAAAUCAAUCAAAAAGUGGAGAAAAAUUUCCUGUCAAAACGUACGCCCAAAUUGACUAGAAACUGCAGAAGUGUAGUACUACGGUCGAAACACCAACCGAAAACAUCGGAGGCGAGGACGAUGGCGUGGCUUGAGCUUGCGGCUGAAGGACCGAAAGGGCGAUCAGAGGGGGGUGAAUGGGAACCUAUAAAAAUUCUCAACAAGAACAAGGCCUAUGUCCCAAAUACAACCCCAAAGCACACAACACGUUGUAUCGUCAAGAUGACGCAAGUCAACUCGUGACAAGCUCACCCUAGGAACGAUACACGUAUCAUAUCAUGACAAAUCUCAUGAUUUUCAGACUUUGCUUGCUUUUUUUACAAUUUAAAAAUCAUUCGGUCACACGUUCGUGAUCGUGUUUCCUGAACAAGAUGUUUGAAAUUUCUUUUUAUUUCAUGGGUCAGGUCUCAAAUUGGGUUAAAUAAUAUGAAUAUCAUUUUUCUACUCAUUUUAUUCUAUAAUUUGAAUCACUUGCAGUUCAAAUUUGACUUAUACCAAAAAUUUCCUUUAAAUACAAUUAAUUAAUUAAAUAUAGCAAACAAAUUCAAAAAUAUACCAAAUUUUAACAUGGAGUACCACAUGUUGUAUGUGGGGAGUAGAAAAAAUCUCAAGGUUAAAAGGGAAAAAAAACUUAUUAUUUGUCGAGUGUCAAAAAAACACUCGGCAAACCCCCCUCUUUGCUGAGUGUUUUUUUCUUGACACUCGGCAAAGUCCCUCUUUGCCGAGUGUUUUUUUUUGACACUCAGCAAAGCUCCUUGUUUGCCAAGUGUUUUUUCUUUGCCGAGUGUUUUUAGCUUGGCACUCGGCAAAGAGCUUGUUGCCGAGUGUCGAAAAAAACACUCGGUAAAUUUGCGGUUUCCGUAGCGAGAGUAGUUUACAAAAUCAGGCAUCAUGACGCAACAAUCAAUGAAAAUCAAGAAGCAGAAAUAUGACAGUUAUUUUGAGUAGUUUUUAACAUGAUCAUCUAAAGUUUGUCUCUUUCAUUGGCAUAGUUGGCCACUUCCUCGUCCGAGGCCACCAUUGAUCAUGCAUUCAUGCCUAGGGAAAUCCGGCCCAAGUGUACAGUCCAAUAGCCCAUAUGCAAAGAAAAUCCGAAUCGACUAAACCUACUGCGAUCCUAGCCGCCUCCGAUCUCCGAGAGGAUCCUCAGCAUGUUGCUGCACUGUUUGUAAGGGCGCUUUGCUUCACCCUACGGGUUUGGUGCAUAAUUCUCGAGCUGCAAUGUUCAAGUUUGCACAAAGAACGAGCACAUAUGCGAUGUAGCGGGGUGUGUAUUCACCUUAAAUAGAGGGCAUAUUUUAAAGUGUGUGGGAUCCAAUAUUGGUCAACUUGACAAGAACAGAUAUUCACUGCUGUGCAAAUUUUUUCCAUCUGGAUGUACGAAAAUAUUAUUCUUAUUUAUUUAUUCGAAACAGUCAUGUGCAGAUAAGACAUGUCUUCACUACAAGUAUUUGUGGAACCAGUCGAGCAUGUAAGCAAGAGCUUUUUCAGCGCUUUUAACAGCGAACGGGUCGGUGGUAUUGUAUCUGCAAGCAAAUCCAUGGGCAACUCUUGGGAAGAUCUUGACAAAGUACUCAAUCUGCAAGAGAGGUAAUGUCAUAUAAACGGGUGAGGUUCUGCCAAGAAAAAUUCACAUGUGCAGGUGCAUUGGUAUUGAGUGCCACUAAACCCAGCAAGAAGCCAAGAAACUCACAUCCAUUCUUUCACGCAAUUCUUGCUCGAACUGACGCACUUGUUCCUGCGGUGUGAUUGUGUCGUUUUGAGCUCCAAGGAUCUCAAUUGGCCAUUUGACCUCUGAGUUUUAAGUGAGCGCAGUUAGCACACGAACAGAAUACUAGUCAUACACAGUGUGCCUAAUAAGUAUGGUAAGAAACACACACCUUUCAUAUCAUCAACAGUCACAUAUGCAGGAUGAGAAAGGACAACUACUUCUGUAUCGUCAGUUUUUGCUAUCUCGGCGGCAAAUUUUCCUGGCAAAUAAUCAGAAAAAAGGUAGAAAUUAGCAUGUUUUAUGUCUUGCCUGAAGAAGAAUAUUGAAAAAUAAAAUUCCAGUAGGGCCAAGCUACUGAAUUGUAGUGAUUGCUGUCGAUUUCACUCACCCCCCCAGCAGUAACCUCCAACCCCAAUAGAUUUUCCUUCGUUUCUCAAAGAAGCCAAGAGUGGCUUGGCAUCUUGAGCAGCUGUGACCUGUAGGAUCGAUCGACAUUGCAAUCAAUUUAUUUGCAACUAAUGAUGCAAUGCAAGAUUUUGUUAAAGAUUCGUUAUGUUAUCAUUUGACUAGAAAUUGAAAUUAAUUAUCCCCGGUGAACAUGAACUUACUGGGGAGUGAGAUUUGAUCCAUUCUGAAAGGAUUUUACUGUCGUUGUAAGGAUCGCCGUGGAAGAAAUCAGGCACCACAACGUAGUAUCCUGUUGCGGCAACUUUAUCGGCUAUGUUUCUGCAUUAUUACACAAGCACUGGUACUAAUUAUAUUUUAACUAGCGAACAAGGCUGAAGUGCCAUGUCAUUUUAGUUUCUAAAACAGAGCCGAACAUCGUUUAAACAACUAAAUUAAAGUAGAUUGCCGCGGUAACGGCCUCUCUGCUGCUUUGGUCAGGGAUUUAUUUACUGGUAACUGGUUUAAAUUACUAGAAGUUUGAGCUGAAAUCAUUUUGAAAUAAAAUUGGGCCUAUUUUCUCGGUUUGUAAGUGUUUCUGAGAGGCAAAGCAAGCUGCCAUGUUUGAUGACAGACCUAUCCAUACCAGAACUACAAUCAAGUCUUCCAAAAGGCUAAAACUUCAUGUUUCCAGUCAUUAGUGCAAUAUAGUGUUUCAAUAAUGUGAGUGUAAGUAGAAAUAUAAAAAAAAACCAUACAUUGCCCAAACAAAAAACUCCAGUUCAUCAAGCUGAAAACAGCUGACUACACCAUGGAGCUUCCUAUGUGUUUUACUAGUUUUUGGGAAGCAAGGAUAUCCCUGUGUAUAAUCUCUUUAUACUUGUUAUUAAGUCACAAAAGUUUCAUCUUAAUGUUUCUAUCUGAUUCUAUUUCCAUCUUGUUUUUAAAUAAAAAAUCUCAUGUUCUACCAUGUUUCAGGAAAGGAAACGUUCACUUAUCAACUCUUAACUAUUGCCAUGCUCUGUUUUUCAUCUCAUUGUGCCUGUCCGGUUUUCAAUCUCCAACUUUAAAACUUUCUAAAAGACUACCUUCAACUCAGAACAAAACCAGGGUGCUUUUGGAUGAUGUGGCCUGGUUUUGUCUGCUGGUGUAUGCAUGUGUACAAGUAGUACACUGAUCAGUACAAAACAGCAAGCAAAAUACAAUAACUGCUGGGACAAUAUAAUAUAACAUCCUCUAAUUUCCCUUCUUCCACCUCUCUCUCCCCCUCAAAUUAAUUUUUUAGCAACUUCGUUCAUCAGCAUACUAGGAUUCCAUCAUUUCUUUGGGAAUCGCGUUGUUUCCUAUAUUUUUGUGCUGUAUUAGAAAUCGUAAGGAACUUGAAUUCAAGAACUUAAAACCAUUUUUUAUACCUCAGUAUAGGUGCCUCGAACCCUGAAGAAUAUUUGUCGAAAGAACAGAGAAUAUAUUUCAGUCAGACAAACCACAAAAAUAACCAUCAACCAAACUGAACGUAAAUUUGCACUAGAGGAGUGUGAAGCUGGCCGGCUGGACCAACCGUAGACAUCCGAGGCGAGGACGAUGGCACGUAUGGACAUGGAGGGGCCGGUGACAUAGGCCCUGAACCCCCCUGGAAGGUCGUCUACAACCUUGCCAGCUUCAACGCCGCGCAACGACAGGUCCGGCGGGUUGUCGAGGCACUGCGAGUGCUCGUCGUGAACGGUCGCCGCCGCGACUAGCACCACGGCGAGGCAGAGGAAGAGCAGUGCGGCGGAGCUCAUGGCGCUUCGACAGGAGGUUCUCUUGCUAGGUUGUCUCCACCGCUGCUGCGUUGCGUUUGUUUAUAUAGCACGAGGGCCGACGGCAUGGUAGGCUAGGUUGCCUCCACGUCGCCGUCCGGCGGCCGGCUGCUUUUUCUACACGAAAGCGAGCGGAACGGAAGCUGAAAGCGCUCGAUGAAUUUGAGUGAAAUACUCCAUGUGGUAUCUCUGGUGUACAGUUCAUGUACUACCACUAGCCUUUAUAAGCCCUCCUGUAGUUCUGCUCUUAGGUGGUCCAUUAAGCAAAGGAUUUGAGCCCUUGGACGCGAAGCUCCUCGCCGAUCUAUCUCUUGUUUCUACGGCAAAAGUACAUGGAAGGCUAUAACUUUGGCCGUGAUUAGGACAUCAAUAUGAGUUCUGACUUUAGGUCGUCUGACAAAAAAUAUGAGGAAUUUUUGUAAGAGGGGGUGUUUGGUUUCUCGAGCUAAAGUUUAGUUCGUGUCACAUCGAAUAUUCGGAGGCUAAUUAGGAGAACUAAAUAUAAGUUAAUUAUAAAACUAAUUGCACGUAUAGAGGCUAAACGACGAGAUGAAUCUAUUAAGCCUAAUUAAUCCAUCAUUAAAGCAACACAUUGUCAAAUCAUGGACUAAUAAGCUUAAUAGAUUCGUCUCGCCGUUUAGCCUCCACUUAUGUAAUGGGUUUUGUAAAUAGUCUACGUUUAAUACUUCUAAUUAGUAUCUAAACAUUCGACGUGACGGAGGCUGAAGUUUAGGGUGAGGAGCCAAAAACCCCGGAAGUUUAUGGUUCGUUCGUUGACAUUUGUGGCAAUGCUGUCCUUCCAGGCACAUUGACAUUUAUAUUUCGUACAUAACUAGCAAGAUGGAGAUGGCCCGACGCAAUCUGUGUGGCUAGUUUUAGUACCCUUCAAUGCAAAUUCUCAUUUUUUUCCUCAAGCCAAAUUAAGUAAAAUUUAUUCGAAAACAAUUACACAAAAGGUGCAGUCCCAAUGAAUUCAUGCCGUAAGAAACGAUUUCUCGCGCAGCUUCUGUUUGGCAACUUCCGAUGCCCAUCAGCACAAUGUUGAGUCUACGGCGCGCGCUGCAGCGCCCCGCGGCGCACGACGCGGAGGGUGGGUCUCAUGUGACCCCUAUUUUAAGUACAGGGCUGGAUACCGAGACGUAUCUGACAUGAAAGUUAUAUCACAGGACGGGCAUAGUCUACGUAAUAAGAUAGUAACUUGUCGAGGAUCAGGAAAAGUACUUGUAGCAAUCAGAGUAGGACUCGCCUAGUCGAAUCCGACUAGUAUUCAUGUAAACAAUUGACCUUAACCCUGCCCCCAGCAAUAUAAGGCGAGGUAGGGAUCCUCUCUAAAGUAAUUCAAUCCAAUCAACACACAGGAUGUAGGGUAUUAUGCAAUCUAGCGGUCCGAACCUAUUUAAAUCGUGUGUCUGUGUUCACUUUCGAGUUCCUAAUCUCGGCGAGCCCCGUUAACUAAAACACUACUUCGGGCACCCCCUCGGUGGGUUGCCGGGUCUAAACACCGACAACCCCACCAUGUGCUGGCCCACGCAUUUUUUUUUCUUUUCAAUUAUUUUUUCUAUACCAAAUAAAUAUUGUAUAUACAUAUAAAUUUUGCAUAAUUUUUUUAACAACAUUCUCUCAAAAGUUAUGACAAAUAUUAUGCGUAUAAGUUAUGUAUAUCAUGAAAGUUGUAUUACGAAAUUUAUCACCUAAAUUGUUGUUAUGAAAAAAGUUAUGCGUACAAAUUGUGCAUAUAGGUUACAGCUUUCUAAAAACACUAGGAUCGUGCCAGUGCGUUACUACGGGCAACAAAUAUUUAUAUUGAAAUACACAUAGUAACUUGCAACAUCAAUCCAAAACAAGACAUUCAACACUCCAUUUAUGGGUUUAACGUACUUUCCAAUUAUAUUGUUCUGUUAUAGUCUCAGCUGUGAAUUUAAUGAGCUAGAAAUCAAGCUUUCUUUUAAGUUUCACGGAUUUCAGACCGAGUUGAGUUGGACUACCUUUUGCUCAAACUGUGAUUGUCCCUAUAAAUUAUUUUAAUUAAUCUGUUUGAUAUGCAACUCAAAAGAAUAGAGCUAAUAUAUGUACUUAGCAUGGCCAUCCUGUUAAACAUAAUUGUUGCCAUGAAAAUAAUGCAUUAUGUAUUACUCCCUAGCUACUUUGUAGUGGUCAAUAUCAAAUAUCUUCUUGACGACCUGACAGACUAAGUGGCCAGAUGGGAUGAUCUUCAGUCCAUCCGACAACGAAAUUUUAGAUCUAUUGCCAUUAGCAAUAUAUAGGCUUGGCAUAUCUCAUGCAUUCACAAAGAAAUCUGGACUGUAUAAGAGUACCUUCCUUGAAUGAUCCACUGAGCGAUUAUUACUUGUGCCAUGCAUUCACAAAGAAAUCUGGACUGUAUAAGAGUACCUUCCUUGAAUGAUCAUUACUUGUUCAACCUGCUUAAAGAAAAUGAUUAUUUGGCCUAACAGUAAGGUUACAACACGAAAAUAAAGCUAACAAGUUGGAGGUAAAUUCAGUUAGGAAAUUUGAGAUGCCGUAGAUUUAGGUAAUUGUAAACUGAUCAAUCCUCAGGUUGGAGACAACUACUGUGCAAUUCAGGUAAUUGUAAACUGAUCAACUACCAAUUGUUCAGAUGCCGCAGAGGUCCAUCUAGCAGUCAGGUAUUUUAGUCCAUCUGACCACAAGAAUGAAACUCACCUGGAGCCCUGGGUGACAGCGUCCCCGUUCUCGUGCUCCUGGCGGCACGCCGACAGGGUGGCGUAGGCGUUCACCUCUUGACCAGCGCGCUAGGCCUUGACCUCUUGAUGUUCAAUAUCUAGGUCUGACUGUAAAAAAGAUCAAUAGAUAUAUUAGAUAUAUCGGUGUUGUCAUUACAUUACAAUGGUAAUCUGAUACCUUACAUGCAUACUCUGACAUGUAGUUUGUAGCAUUAGGCUUAUAAUAGUUCUCCAUCAAUAUUAGUGGGUCAUAAAACUGAUAAAAAUGGAGAUUAAGGAGUACUGCACACUAUCUUCAGUAUAUAUAAAGAACAUGAUAAUCUGAAACUUCCCAACUGAACAUCAUCGCUGACUGAUCAAGUUCGUUACUGAAUCAUAAACUAUGAAUGUGAGGCCUGUGUCUCUGAAGCAAGAUCGCUACACAUCAUUGCUGGCUGAAACCAGUCAAUCAACAGAGUCUAGCACAUGGGAAAAAAAAAGCAAAGAGUAAUAACUUGGUGAAUAACAAAACAUCGUCAGAAAAGAAGAAAAGAAAAAGGAGCGGAUGAAAUUCUUAGCAGAACAAUAUAAUGUAUGGAAUACUCCAUCAGUGUACUUUCAUCAUGGUCGACAUGUUCAAUACAUAAGCAUUUCCAUGUCUCGAUUUUAUCAGUCUAGCUCGUAUUUCACUCACAUAAGGGGAUUUUUUACCAAGCAAAAGCAGCAAAAGACCAUGAAACCUUAUUAUUACUGACAGGAUAUGAAAAUACCAUAUGUAUGUGGGGAAAAGGAUGCAGACUCCAAAUUGGUCCCUGCCAUGAGCUGUGUAGCCACCCAGCCAUCCCCAUAUAUUUUCUUCAGGUUUGAACACAAUACUGGUUGCUGCACUUCCCAGGAUGGGUACUUGUGGAGGCCAUGCUAAUUAGCGAUCAAUACCUGUUGCCUGCACGAACAUAAUCCCAAGCUUUAAAAAUGAUAUUUUCAUAAAAUUGAGUCAGAAGCAGGUCUAUAUAAAAAAUGUGUAACUGACGUACAAGUGAUUUGCUUGGCUAAUGCAGGGAGCCCAUGUAUGAUAGCGAAACAAAAUUAUAGCACUUUGGAAUUGUGCGUUACAAUACAUGAAAAACAAUUAUAGUACAUGCUCAUGCCUUCAUCGAAGACAUUCUCGUGCCACUUAGUUUUUUUAGGAGAGAUUGAAAGCACUAAGAAUAUUUUUCACAAAGUUUAGUACUUAAAACUUCCAAUUGAUAAAUUUCAGCAAUCUUGGUAACAAUCGCUCUUCCAAAUACUAUUGUACUGUUAGUUGACCAUUGUGCCCUAAUAGUUAAACUUCCCCAUAAGACCAUAGUAACAGCAAGUAAAUAAACAUGCAUGUAAUCUUUCAUUGUGGCCAAAACUCCUUGAAUUCUUAAAAAAAUGAUUGGCUCUGAUGUCACACCCGGUUUUAAAACAAAACCAAGUGCUAUCUAUAUGUAUGUCAGGAUCUAGUUUCAUAUAUUGUAACAUCAUUAGUGAAUAACAACAACAGUAUCACGUAAAAAGAUAAAAAAAAAGACUUACAAGACUAUCAGAGACACACAGCUUAAAUAUUGGAAACGUAGGCUCCAAACUUCACAGGCACUCAACUGGGGGUUGCGUACGCCUAGAACUCAGCACCAUCUUCACAAUGACUUCAUAGCAGCUUCAUCUUCUAAGCAACGUUGAUUAUAGCAAGGGUGAGCACAUGUCGUACUUAACAAGUGUGGGGAAGAUAUGAAUGCAAGGUUUAAACAAGGAAAGGCUGACUGGUUGACUGCAUUAAGCAUUUUUAGUUGGUCAAAUUUUAUUAGCACCUGAUUACUAAGGUAUAAGUAUGUACCAACCCACAAUUAAGCAUAAAGCACCAACAUUAUCCAAGGAACCAUAAUUUAUUCUCAUCUUUAAGUUCAAUUAUCAUGUGAGGGUCCAGGCCAUUCUUAACUGUGAGCACGGCUGAUAUAUCAGUUUUACACUCUGCAGAGGUUGCACAUCUUUGCCCACAAGUCGUGUAAAAGUUCAAAAGAGCUUUAGACCCAAUCAUGCUGUGCUGAUCAGGCACAAUACUACACUUCCGAGGUGUGAUUGCAUAGGAACGCUACAAGGCCUUUAUAAAGAUUCUCAAGUAAGUGGUAACCCGCUAAGGUUUUCGGAUCAGUAGUGUGCAUAAACCCCUCUCAGGACUGCGAAGCUUCCAUAAAGCAGAUCAGUCUAAGGGGCGGGUUAUACACCAUCAACCGCCACCCCUUUUACCCUUUCGGUAAGAUUACCCCGGAUUAGAGUCUCUAAUUAAUUAGCUAAGAUAAGAGCCACGAUAGUUCUCGUGGUUGUACUGUUUUUCUGGGUGGUUCUCCAUGUUCCGAUUAAAUCAAGUGAUCUUGUAUUAAUACGCGUAUAGCAUAAAUAAAAGUCAUGAUUAAUAUUUAAGUUCAUUAAGAUCAUCAUAACCAAGUAUAGCAGCUAAGCAUAGCUACCCAACAGAAUCAUAAACCUAGGUUGACAAGGAAUGAUUAUAAAAAUUAGGCAAACCUUAAUAGGACCCAUCAAAUUAAAUGCAGGCAUAUGCAAUAGUGAUUAAUAAAGUUAUUGGGACAAAAGCACAAGAACACACUUACUUUUCUCCAACGACAAGUUACUCUUAUUGCUCUUCGGUUCUUGCUCUCUUGAAACUCUUACUCUUCAAAGCUUCUGAACAACGAUCCUUCUACUCUAAGCAAACAUCGGCAACAAACAAACAAGUACAACUUAAAACAAUAAAAAAAAGACUUUAAAAAAGCGUACUAAAGGACAAGGCUUGAUCUAAGGGAGCGCUAAGAACGAAACUAUCGAGACGCUUGAUUCAUAAAAGAAAUAAAGACUAUAUGUUUGUUUCAUGUUAAUUAAAUAAAAUAUGCACAUAGGUUAUUUUAGAGAAAUACCCUAUUUGGAAUUAAGCAAGUUACAUUCAAUUAUUAAAAAUACGGUAAACUUAAUUAUAUUUUAUUUUAAAAUAUUCAAGUACGAGUUAUGUCAAUUUAACAAUUAACUUUAAAAAGAGUAUAAGACAUCCAAUCCAAUAACUUUGUAUUUCGUGUUAAACAAGAUUAUUGAAAACACGGUAAACUUGAUUAUAUUUUAUUUAUAAAUAUUCAAACGCGAAAGGUACGGGCUAAACAAGAUUAUAGGGACCUAAACGCGAUUAAUCGUAGACUACAAGGGUUAGCAAGAAAGAUUACCAAGACACAAAGAAUAGAGCCGCGAAAAGCUGAAAACUCGGGGUUAGAUCUGCAAAAGGUCAAGGCUUGGAUUAGAUUGCAAGGAUCUGGAAAGUUUGAGGUUUAUUCUGUGAAACUGCAAGACACAAGAAGGAGCAUAAGAAUUACAGGAUUUUCAUGGGCUUCUUCGCAAAACGGAGCCUUAUCUUCUUCUUCCAGCUCCUGCUCGCUCCGCUCGUGUGGCCGAUCAGAUUAUCGGCGGCGGUUGCUGGCCGGGCCAAGGGGGCAGGGCGCGCGCGGCUGCGGCGGCGGUGGCGCGCCGGCGCAGCAGGCGGCCAGGAAAGCAGCGCAGGCAGCGGCUCGGCGCAGGGGCAACACAGGCGGCGGCGGGCGCGGUUAAGCAGAGGCGAGAAAAGGCGGCGGCGGCGAUUUGAGAGGCGGCGGCGCUUGGUGGGGCGAGGAGGCGGAAAAGGGUGGGGAAAGGGGCUCUGGUGGCGGCGGGGCGUUUUAUAGGGGCGGAGGAGGGAGCUGAGGCGGCGGCCGGCCAUAAAUGGCGGCGAUUUGGUGCGGGCGGCCGUUUCUGAUGGGGAGAGGAAACGAGGGGGCGAGGCGGCGCGUGCGCGGGGGAAGGGGAGCGGGUGCGGGACGUGGAGCAGCGCGGGAGAUGGAGCGGUGCAGAGGACGCCGGGGAGGAGCCGCGACGCGGCGGCGGCCGGUAGAGAUCGAGCAGCAGGAGCGGUCGGAUGAGCGCCUGGCCUGAGGAAGAAGAAAAACCUGCAGGUGGGGCCCACCUGGCAGUGGAAGGGAGAGAGGAGGAGAGAUGGCGGGCCAAGCUGGGCCGGAAGCUGGGCCACGGGGGAGAAAGAUGGGAGUUGGGCCGGUGCAGGGUGGAAAGAGGGAAAGGGAGGUGGGCCUGUGGGAAAGGCCAGAUGGGCCGGGCGAACGGAAAAUAAAAGUGGACCGCGGUCUGGUUGGGCCGAUUUGGGUCGGGCCCAAGGCUCGGCCCAAAAGGAAAAGAAAAGAUAGAUUAUUUUCAGAAAUUAUUUCACGUGGGAAUAUAUAUCCAGAAAAUUCUAGAUAAAUAAUUUAAACCACGAAAAAUAUUCUGAAAAUCCCAAAAAUUUAAGAAAAAAUCCCAUGAGGAAUGUAAAUAAAAUAUUUGGAGCUCAUGAAAAAGGAUUUUAGAACUAUCCCAAAAUUGGAUUAAGCUCAAGAAAAAAAGAGAAUAAAUUCCAGUAAUGGCUGAAAAAUUCUCAGAAGGGUUUAGACAAUGUCUAAAUGCAUUUUUGAAACUUUUUUACUCAAGAAACAUCAAGAUGCAACGGCAUGAAUGCACAGAUAGAAAACAACAACCUUAUUUAAUUCCAAAAACAAAUAAUUAUUUUUCCUAUACUAAAUUUCCUAUGAAGAAAAUAAAUAUUAGGAAAAAUUUAAUUAUAAAAAAUUAUUGUUUAAUUAUUUCUUUUUAAUCAUAUUCUAAAAUUCAAAAAUUUCAAAGGUAUGACAUCUAAGUACUCUAAUGAAACCAGUUUAGAAAAUACAGUUCAGUAACCUGCUCUUAUGAAGACUGCAUAUGAAAAAAAUAGUACCUUCCGAGGGUUACACCUACAUAACAUCAGUGAGAGAUACUUAGCUUCUAGCAUACACAUGUUCAGAAGCAGUUCUUUGCAGGCCAAUAAGGCAUCCAUUAAAAUACUUAGCACCAUGCAUUGCUUUGUGUCAGGUUGUCCCGGUACAAAAUAGAAAAAAAUAUUUUUCAUUUAGCAAACAUGUCAGAGAAGCAAAAUUCAGAAAUGAUGUGCAGUGUCACCAACAGGUCAAAAAAGUAAGGACAAUCUAUAAUUGUGGUCAUGAAAUUAUGCAUCAUCCGCGAACACAAAAGCCAGUCAUCAACUAUUUACAUGGUAACCCUGAAUUAUUUAGAUUUACUUCCUACAUGCAUAAAAAUAAACCUCUCAUGAUUUCGUUGGACAUCACAUAUCAAAAGGGAGAAAAAUGAAACCUAAGACAAUUGAAUCAUAAUGAUUUUUUUCUAUGUGGAAGUAGAUAAUUUCCUUAUCUUUCAGACAGCCACUCCAGAAACUAAUCAUACAAUCAAAUUUAGUUAGAAAUUUAGAGCAUGCUAGCACAGAACAAUAGGAGCUAUGAAUUUACACAUGCUAGCUGUAGAUUGUCUAGAAAAAUCGAAAACCAAAUACUUGAUGCCAGCAGAUCUAAAGAAUCAUUGUGUUUUAGGAACACCCACCGAUCGGAGCAGGCAACAACGGAGCUGCCUUGGGGCCGCCAUCGACUUGGAGCUCCUUGUUGAGCCGCACAGAGAAGGAGCGGCAGCGGCGUCAUCGUGGGGGUGUGUUGAGCGCAGGGAAGGGCCAAUUUUGAUUCUGGGUAGGAUGACGUACAAACGUAGGGCAAAGCGGAUGGGAGGGAGCAAUUUUCCCGUGCGUGGAGAGAAGACUGAUUGAUCCAAGGGUGGAGGCUGUGUUCCGCAUAGAGAACCGUGAAAUGGAGGGCCGAGGUUGCUUGGAGCGAGGGCCAUCGGGCGACGACGGUCAUUUGACGGACCAUAGAAACGUUGCCCGUUUGGUUUUUUAGGAGUAGAGAAAAUUCGAAGUUAUUCUUACAAAUUGUACCUAAAAGUUGUACACCUAAUUUUUGUGCGCUAUUGAAGUUGUGCUAAAAAGUUAUCUCAUAAAAAAUUAUAUUAUAGAGUUAUGCAUCGUAUUUAUAUGUAUAAGUUAUGAUUUCCACAAAUGGAAAGUUGUGGGAUUUAAAACUUUCCCAAAAUGGAAUGUUUGGGGGGAAGGAAGGAGCUGUCUAGAUUCGCUCGCCAGGAGGGCUCCUAGUGCGCGAGCGCUAAUUAGCACUGCGCGCCUAUCAGCAUGUUAUUUUUUAAACAAACUGGGCAGGAGAGCUGCCGAUUAUAUUAAAAAGAAGAUGAAACCCGGGCAAUACAACUAAUGGAAAAAAAUAACGAGUUGAAUUGGGACAUCAACACACGUUGAACUCAACUCAACUAACGAAACAACUCAUGCCGAUUCGAUUGAGACAUCGACACGAGUCGCAACAACUCUAACUAGUCAGAUUGGGAUAUCAACACAGGCCGCACAACGUCAUCACACCACUCAACUCAAACUUAGCACCACCACCACCACCACCACCAAGAACUCUUCCGCAUUCUUGGAGAUCCAGCCCCACUUCCAACUCUUCUGCAUGUUCUUCUGUGUCAAGCCGUAGCCUAAGAGGGAGCACACAGUAGUCGGAGGGGUUGGAAUCCAAAUGAGGGAGAAGGUGAAGGGCCUCUAUUUGGAGUACGAGUUGAUUGACUCGCAUUCUGGGUGGAAAGAGAGGUGGUGCUAUAUUGGCAACUAUGAGCCCAAACUCCCUAAGGUGACAGGCCACCGCCCGACGUGGAACAAUAGGUGGCUAGAUGUGCCAAGUCACAGAGAUUAUUUGCAACUACCUGACCUUCUUGAUAGAAUUGCCAGAUUGAAACAAUAAGGUCUAACGAGAGUUGGGGUAGCCUUCAGCUUCAUAAAGAGGCGAGGUAAGCCCCUGCAAUUGCGGUGCACAUGGGGCUACGACUACUUGAGCCCCAAUGAUCCAUCCCGGAUGUCACCAAAAGAACUCACCAUGGAUGAGAUCAUGGAGCAGUUCAGGUGCUUGUUCAAGCAUGCCAGCAAGUGCCUGUUCAAGCAUGCCAACAAGACCCCAACGAUUGUGCAGGAUCAUUGCACUGCCAACCCACCAAGCAAUGUAAGUACCCGUGGCCACAGCCCUCAAGUACUAAUUGUUGUAUCUAUUGAUGUUCUGACUUGUCUUCCUAUGCAGGAAGAUGUACACUUGUUUUGCUCUGCUCCUCCUCCUCCUGGAUCAAAUGACUCUGAUGCCGCUCCACACGUACACACGGCUACAAGUGUAUAGAGAGAAGUCGAGGGGGAGUAAAAGGAAAUUGAGUCUUUCAGCAGCUCCUACUCUGAAGCUACUAAAGAAUUCAUGCUCAAAGCCCGGCCAUUAGACAAGGCUGGGUCUUCCUCCGGGUCACCAAAGCAUGCGGCUGAUGAUCUGGAGGCUAGACUGGCGGCACCGCCAAAGCGACGCUCUGCUCUUGCAGUGUUUCUUGCUCGCCGUUGAGUUUUUUGAGCUUCAGUUUCUUUUCCGACGAUGUUGAUGGUGAGCUUAUCCUACGAGAUGUCAUCUCGGUGACGUUCAUGUCAUGGAUUCCUUUCUUGUUGCUCUUCAUCUUCUCCUUCUUGCGCAUCAACAAGGGUGAAGAGUUCCCGCUCCGGAGAAUAGCUUCCUGAACUUAACGUGAUGACCUCUGUGGAGCCAUCUUUUUUGUAGAUGGGAGACAAAAGAAGUUCCCUUCUAGUACAGGAGGGUAUCAAGGUAGGCAACAAGGUGUGACUCGUCAUUCUUUGCGAGAGCAGGUGGCUUCAUGUUGGCCCAGUAGAUGAAUCUGUCUUGUGGAGUUGAGGUAAUCACAAGGCCUUGUUGUGGGUCUGAUAAUGGAGUCCUCUCAUCCGGAUUCGAGUAGCAGUAAAGGUCCUCGAUCCAAUCCAUGUUGAAUUGUGAUCUGGAUAGGGUAGCUUGAUAGACAAUACCCGUGUUUCGGAGUCCGAACGCGAAUCGACUUGAGUCAUAGACCGAUUCGCAUGAUGGCUUAAGCGCCGGCUCAUGAAAACCAGUCCGGCUAGUGGGAGAAGUUGAGCUGUACUCGGACUAGUCCCCCCAGCCUCUGACUAAGUCAAGAAUUGAAAAUUCGCUGAAUUUCUCGACGAGAUCCUCCAAAGCUUGGCGCUGGAGGUUGAUGGUAUGCUGUUUCUUCUCUACGACCGACACAAUGUGGCGGUGGAAGUUUCCAACACCAUCUGCAACGCAAACCCAGGAGCUGAAGACGAACGUCGCGUCUGCUUUGAACGCGAUGGUGGACUUGAUGAUGACUUGGGCCAUCGAGUUCGUUAGUGGAUUCUCAGCGAGAGCCCUUAUUUCGUGUGCCAGCUAUCGGUGUUUAGACUCGGUAACCUACCGAGGGGGGUGCCUGAGGUGGUGUUUAGUGCGUGGGGCUCACCCAGAUCAGGAACUGGAAGGUGAACUUGAACACAUAAUUUAGACAGGUUCGGGCCGCUAGAUUGCGUAAUACCCUACGUCCUAUGUGUUAGUUGUAUUGAAUUGCUUUGGAGGGGGUCUCCACCUCACCUUAUAUUGCUAGGGGCAGGGCUACAGGUCGUUUGUUUACAAGAAUACUAGUCGGAUUUGACUAGUGAGUCCUACUCUAAUUGCUACAUGUAGUUACUUAAUCCUUGACUAGUUCUUGUCCUCCACGUAGACCACGCUGUUCUGCACCGUAGUCUCCAUGUCUGACACGUCUUGGUGUAUAGCCCUGUAUCUAGGACUGUCCAAACCUUCUAGUGGGCACAUAGAUAUAUGUACAACAAGCACAGUGAAGAUCUAACGAACGCCCACCCGGGAAGGACCCCGUCAGAGUAGGCGCACCUUGGGUUGCCCUAGGCUCGGCAAGAACAACACAUGGGGUUGGAAAAGUAGGGCAAAGAGGAAAAAAGGUAAAAGUAAAAGAUAGAUUAGUUUUUGAUCAGUUGUGGCCCUUUAUAUUUAUAGUGAGGGGAGGUCUUGCCCCGUUGGAAGUCGAAACCCUAACAAAUCUCAUGCAAAAAUACAACUCCUACUCGGACUCUACAGGUCCAAACCGGUCCGACCUAUCUCCUCGGGGGCAGAUAUUCCCGAGGUCAUAACCCUCUCUUCCGAACUUCAAAUUGGACGUUCUAUAUAUGAAUUUUGAUCUACUCAACAAGAGAUACACAAUGGUGAACUCCAAUUUGUAUUUGUAGGACUUUGAUCAAACUGGUCUGACCGAUUGGAAGACCGGUUCAAAAACCUACUUGUCCAGAUCUGCUAAUUUUGACCAUCAAUAGGUAAUAAUUAAGAAAAUAUCAUUGAGGUAAGAAUUAAGAAAAUAUCAUUUCCCUUCUCUCAAAUUUCAUUUUAUUUGUGUGCAUGUGUUACUAAUUUUGUGUGUGUUAUUUCACUACUAUGGAAUGGACCUUUCGUCCACUCCCUUAGUACCGGGUGCAUUUGAAUCCGGUACUAAUAUUAGCAUUAGUACCGGCUCCAAAUUUGGAAUCCCCCGAACCCUCCACCCAGUACUAAAGGUUUCCAUCUACGCGCCUAGCCCCCUUAGUGCCUGUCCUUAUCCUCAGCUCCCUCCGCUCCGCUUCCCUCAUCCUCAUCUUUUCUCCUUCUACUCCCUCUCCCUCUCCAGGCCACUAGCCCCCUCCCUCCCUCCCCUCUCCUCCCCCCUCCACUCGCCCCUUACCUCGUGCCUGAGGCGAGGAGCAGCGGUAGGGUGAGGCGCAGCGGUGGCCAUCGGGGCGCGGCAGGGAGCGGCGACGAGGUGAGACGCGGCGGCAGAGCGGGCACGGAGCAGCUGGCGGGCGGGAGCGCAGCGGUGGCGGAGCGGCGGGUGGGUGGCCAGGGGUAGCGGGGCUGGCGGAGGGCGGCAACGGCGGGACAGGCGGAGGGCAGGGGCGGGUGGGGGGUGCGGGCGGGAAUUUAUUUUUUUUUAAUUUUUUAAUACCCUUUAAUACCGGUUAUCUCAACCGGUACUAAAAGUCCCACUUUAGUAUCGAAUUGCCAGUACCGGUUGGACAAUCGGUACUAGAGGGGUUAUCGACCGGUACCAGAGGUGUUAUCCCUAGUAGUGUUCUUAUAUAUUUGAAAACGGAUGCCGAUUACUGCCGUGCUUUGGUCUGCCAACUAGGCAUUCUUAAUAGUCAACAGGAUUAUUCUGUUUCGUGUGUAGGGGAACUAGCAUCCUAACAACCGUUGGUGGCUUACGGCUUUGGCUUGGCUGUCAAUCAAGCGCCGCUUGGGUCACGACAAUGGCAGUAAGGUCGUGGUGUCUACCAAGUAAAACUACGUAUACAUUCCCUCCGUUCUAGUGCAGAUGUGGGCGUACACAAUAUUAGGCUAUACUGGUGUUAAAAAAGACCAGUAUAAACAUAUCCAAUGAUCGAGAUUAAUUGUAUACUACUAAAAACUUCACUAGUGGUAUGGAUAGUAUGCGUGAGUAGUAUAUGUGGUAUAAGGGUAUUAUGGAAAAAGAAAUAUAAAUGGCAUAUACAUAAUAUAUUUUUCUUGUUCUUUGAGAUGGUAAUAUAUCUCUCAUUUAGUAAUAAUUCGUAUGGUCCAUCAAUAUUUAGUAAUAACUAUAUUAGCAUUUGCCUAUACCAUAUACUACUGAGUGGUAGUAUUGUGUACCGUAAAAAACUUAUUUUUGAACAUUCUUGUCACAGGACGUUUUAAUUGACUUCAAGCAUGAUGUCCUCCAUCGACCAUCAUGUCCUAUUCUUUGCUCCGAGUCGUGUAGUUGUGCUUUUAAGAAAAAGGUGCUUGUGUGUUUUGCUUUUCGCGGUCUAAAAGUUUAGAUAGAUAUUUUGUACCGUAGUUGCUCAUCACUCCAAUUAUGUACACUUCUUCGCGCGUUAUUUCAUUUUCAAUCUUGGAGUCGCCGCUGCCGACCUAGAGAAUGGACUAGGGUGGCUGGCCUAAGGGUUUGGAUUCGAGAUGCUAAACUUUAGCAGGGUCACAUCGGAUGUUCGGACGCUAAUAAGAAGGACUAAAUAUGAGCUAAUUAUAAAACUAAUUGCAGAACCAUGUGCUAAUUCGCGAGAUGAAUCUAUUAAGCCUAAUUAUGGAUUAAUUAGGCUUAAUAGAUUCGUCUCACGAAUUAGACUCCAUCUGUGCAAUUAGUUUUGUAAUUAAACUAUAUUUAAUACUUCUCAUUAGUAUUCAAACAUACGAUGUGACACGUGCUAAAGUUUAAGGGGUUCACCCCCUUAAUCCCACCCUGCUGGGAUCAGCCUCCAUGGGGGCGACAGAUGCCACUGCCUAGGCAUGGCGGUGGCUGUUGCUGUAUCCCAGCGUUUGCAGGUAUACCGUAUCCCUGACAACAGGUGUGCGCAUGCAGAUUGGCCUUUCGGAUCUAUGGAGUGCUAAUAUGUGUUGCUUGAUGGUGUUGUGUCGAGGUGGGUUUGGGAUGUGCGCAUGCCGGGCCAACGAUGAUGACGUCUGUUGGUGCCACAUCCCUCUCUGGACAAUUAGACAGCCCCGACCCCUUCCCCUACCACCUGUGUUAUCAGUUCUUGCAGGUGUAAACCUUAUCUUUUGUUGAUUAGGUGAUGGCCGAGCCCAUGGCGUCGUGUCCCUCCCUCGCGGUGACACUUUGAAAGAACUCGUGCUUCAUCACAACGUACUGCUAAUUCCAUGGUUUAAGAGAAGGGCAGCAACUACUCAAGGGAAUGCAUGUCAGAUCAACAUGUCAUUUGAGUCGGAUGUUGUUAGGGAUUACGAGUCAUAUGCUGUUGAUUGGUUGGCAAAGACCAUGUGGUCUUCAGAUAUUUGUGAGAUGCUUUAGAUGCACUGUUCGCCACCUUUCUUUCGUAUGAGGAUGAUGGAGUUUUGGGGAUUUUGUGGUGUAAGAGAAUAGGAGUGACUACGUUAAGCUCUUCCUCCAUAUAUGGAUUGUAGGUUGCUAGGUAAUUUUGAGACGUAUGUUGAAUUUAAGAUCUUUUAUUGUUUAUCACUUACUGGAUCACUUUCUUCUUUCUCUCUUAUAUUUCCUUUUGACAAGGUUGUGUGUACUCCUGUUGGGGGAAAAUAUUAACAACCUCCUAAUGCCGCUUAAAGCGACAGUCAUGAAGGCCCAGGCCCACCUGCGGUAAUUACGAUUACAGCCGACCUAGUAAAGGCAAAGAACGUCCCACUCCGUCUCACCCGACCUAGGGCCUCGGGGUCGGACAAUCCCGACCCCUCGAAGGAGGGACUCUGCCUCGCCCGACCGUGGUCCCAGGGUCGGGAGCGCCCAACCCCUCGCCGCAAGGCUCCGCCUCGCCCGACCGCGGUCCUAGGGUCGGGAGCGCCCGACCCCUCGCCGCAAGGUUCCGCCUCGCCCGACCCAGAGAACCGGGGUCGGGAGCGCCCGACCCCCACCACAGAAACCCCGUCUCGUUCGACCCCGGGCACGGGGGUCGAACUCACUCGGGUCCACAAGACGGAUAUUUGCCUCGGGCCACUGGAGGAUCAGGAUAACGAUCUCGUGGGUCCCCCUAUCGACCUCGCCAUAAAUGCGUCGCGGGCCUGUCAAGCCAAAAGGGAGCGGCGUCCCCGACGUAACCAGUCCCGAAUACCGGUGCGUGGCGCAAAGUACUCAUGAGCUGCGCCGAACAACACAGGGGGGCGCAUCGCUUGCUCUCGCGCCCCGUGCUCCCAACGGCAGUGUCAGGGAUGCGACGUCCGGGUCUUACGGUAAUCGGUGGGGCAACAGAACCGGACCUCCUCCUCGGCGGGCACGGAUGCCGAGGCUGAGGCUCAUCAUCACGCUCGACGGCGACGGCGACCAGGGAGAUCAUCGACAAGAUCCGGAAGGAAUCGCCCUCCCUCGCCGGACGCGCUGACAGGGACCGGAUGCCGGAGCAAGAGCGGCGGCCUUGGGGCCCUCCCCUUGUAUUAUUUUUCUACUUAGCUUAUCCUUCCUGCUUCUUCUCCUGAGGUCCAGCUCAACUGUAACCCCGAGCUCCCUCUUGCGCUAUAAAAAGAGGACCGGGGGUCCUGAGACGGGGACGGAAACUCUGGCUCGGAAGCCAACAAUACACUCUCACACUCCCUUAGAGCACAAGCACACUCAAGAGACCUGGGAUCAGUUCCUUCUCUCGCCCUUCUGUAACCCCUACUAUAGAACCCCGCGUGGGUAACACGAGCAGCCUCGAUACUGGACGUAGGGCCUUCCUUUGCCCGAACCAGUCUAACCCCGUGUCUCCCACGCCACCAUCCGAAGCCUUACGCGCAUAAAAGAAAUUUACUAGUCUAGAGUCUUGAUCCGCAAAUCUUGACAACGACAACUACCUUGUUACAUAGGCUGGAAUCUAAGCUUUCUUCAUCCAAAAGAAGAUUAUAUAAAACAACCAGAAGGAGGGGGGGGGGAUUUUGACUGGUAAGGGAUGUUUUGCAGGAGGAUGUGCACCUCAACAUGAGUAACAUAGAAUCUGUGGGUACACUUUUAGCAACAUACCUUCAAACCACAUUCUAUGCAACAAUAAUCUUGUGCAAACCAUAUAUAGCUAUGCCCACCAUUUAUAGAACAAUGCUCAAUAGACUACAAUAUGCAUAUGAACGUGCACGGUGCACUACCGGAAUGUCUAAGUUUGUCGUGUGUCCAUGGCACACGGUGAAGCAAAAAAAAAACACUUGGCAAAGCUUUUGCCGAGUGGGCGUACACAGUGCCGGUAAAAAUGUUUUGGCCGAGUGCUAAAACCGACACUCGGCAAACAAAAAAAGCAAUGUGACGGUGCGAAGACGGUCACAUCACGAUUGCUGAGCGUCUAACGGUAUGUCCACGGAAAAACAAUCCUCGGCAAACAUGAGUCAUUUUAGACUUUAGGCACAAUUUCCUAAAGGAACACCAGAAAUUUCACAGAAAUUUUCACAUUAGCUAUGUAGAUAAUAGCAAAGUUCUUGCAAGGUGACCAUACUUGCAAGGUAUGCUCGCACGUGUUCAAAUUUGUUGUAAAUCUGCAGUUCUGUCCGAACAUAUAAUGACCUGAACAGCAAAAAGAUUUGCCUCGACAGCACCAGGGGAGGUGGGAGCUCACUGUUUACCGCUUUCUGUCCUCCCUUGCAAUCAACUCCUAUAGUGUCCAAAGACUUGACCAAGUCCAAGUCCACGCGGUCCAGGCAAGCCCACUGGCCACCGGGAAACUCGACCCCACAGCACGAGUUGGAGGCCCCACGCGGGAAAGGAAUCCUAAGCGAUGCAAUCAUCCAUAUGUGGGUCCCUCAGACAUGAUUUUUUGGCUGUGAACACUGCACAGCAACUCGCGAGAAUUUUGCCCUCAGCCUUUUUUAUCUGUAGGUUUUGGGAGCACAGAGAGAAGGAAAAAUUGGGUUAAGAUGGAGUUGUUAUUGGGAUAUGCGGAAAAGUAGGUAACGAAGUUGGACAACUGUUGGAGCUUUGGUUUUUCACCUUGGUUACCAAAAACUAGUCAUUGAAAUCAUAUAUCGGGCACUCUUAAAAAUACUCUAACUGAUGAUCUAGUACAUAUAUUUUGAACAUUAUUUUUUAAAACCUUAUAGCAACUCAAAACCUCUUUUAAUUUUUUCUACUAUCAUAAUCGUCUUAAUCUUGGUCUACUUAAAUGUUUAGACUACUUAACCUGCAAUAACGUUUCUUAUCUAGAAGAGACUAUUUGCCCAACAACUAACCGUCGUAUUCCCUCGUAAAUAGCCAUAGGGCCCAAGCUAUAUGAUCACCACCUAAACCAAUUAUUGUCUCGACCACCUAAACCAAUUAUUAUCUUUCCAACUAGCAUUUCGCUUGCGUAAAUGGAAUCCCCAUCUGCGACUGUGAGGCCCUGAGAAUUGAAGCGCCCUUCCUCUCUGACACCACCACAAGCUAGCAGAGCGGUAGAGCCAGCAGCUUCCCAGUCGAGAUGGCCGAACUGAUGGCGAGCGCCGCCACGAGCAUGAUGGGGUCCGUCAUCGGCAAGCUGACUGCCAUGCUCGGCGAGAAGUACCAGCUCGCCAGAGACGUGGAGCAAGGGAUCCGCUUCCUGAAGGAUGAGCUGAGCAGCAUGGAUGCCGUGCUGCAGAAGCUCGCAGACAAGGACGACGACCAAAUGGAUCCAAUGGAUAAAGAUUGGAGGAACAAGGUGCGUGAGCUAUCCUUCGAUAUUGAGGAUUGCGUCGAUCGCUUCAUGCUCAAUCACAGCCAUGGAGGUUCCAAGGCUAACUUUGUUCGCAAAGCCGUGCGUAAGGUGAAGAUGUUGUGGGAGGACCAGGGCAUAGCAGGGGAGAUCCAAAAACUCAAGAUACUCGUGACAGAGCAUAGUGACCGGGCCAAACGCUACCGUGCGCUUGGACCCUCGCCGCCUCACUAUCUCGCCGCCUCACCUCAGCCGGUGCGCUUGGAUCCUCGAGCAACUGCCCUCUUUCAGGAGGCGAGGGAUCCUGUGGGAAUUGAUGGUCCUCGCGAGGAAAUCAUCCAGUUAUUACAAGUUGAAGAAAAUCAACACAAGGUGGUGUCUAUCUAUGGUACCGCUGGGCAGGGGAAGACUACUCUAGCCAUGGAGGUAUACCGAAAAAUCACACAAACACAAGCAUUUGAUUGCAGGGCUUUCGUGUCUGUAUCUCAGACUCUGGAUAUGAAGAAUCUACUCAGAGAUAUAUUGUCUCAAAUAGUAAGCAAGAACGAGUUUGACCAGUUGCAGUCGGAAAAUUGGGAGACGCUGCAAAUUGAGAUACGCAAAAUGAGAGGCUACUUAAUUGGCAAGAGGUAACCAGAAUUACUUUCUUGUACUAUAAUAAUUAGCCAGUUCAUCUAGCUAUGGCAAUGUUGUGAGGUCUUUGUCGAUCACAUGAGCUCACCUAAUUUAUCGGCCAUUUUACGGUUGUAUUUUACGGACCCAUUCGAGCAUAAAACUACCACAUAUGCAUUUGUUAUAGCUAAAACCAUGACUUCAGCUGUUCAACAUAUCUACCAAAAGCCACAUAUCUUACAACAAGGUCAAGUCAGCUGCUCAUGAAUGUAGGCGUAUGUGGUUGGAGUUGGCCUGUACUAUACUAUAUAAAAUGAUUGUGUGCGAAUGAUAUUUGAGUAGAAAAUUAUUUACUCUAUACCAUCAAAUAAUUUCAGAUUCAAUAAAAUUAUUUCUUGAUAGCUUCAACCAUGUUUGUUUCGUAUAGCCAUUCUAAAUAUCCAUAAAAAUCUUCUUUAAAAAUUAAGUUUUCAAACUGAACGCUUCUUGUGUUUCAGUGGGUCUCAUGUGGAGGAAGCUACUAUUUUGGAGGUUGUAGACAGAUUCUUUUCCGAUAGUAGAGGAAGUAGUUUCCAGCCUCUAUUCCUAGCACGUGUAAUACGAACUGACAGAAAAAAUAAGCCACCACUAUCCAUCGCUUUACUUUUCUCCAAUAUCUUUCACCAUGAUAUGCUCUAUAUGUUGAAUAGUUAUGGUGGCCUUGUAACAUGAUUCCUCAACCAAUGCAUGCAGGUACUUCAUCUUGAUUGAUGAUAUCUGGAAUGUAUCAGAUUGGGAGCUUGUACAAGCUGCCUUACCUCGCAAUGACAACGGAAGCAGAAUAAUUACUACAACUCGCAGUAAAACAGUAGCCGAAACAUGUGCUGGUAUUGAUGCACAAAUGUACAAAGCAAAGCCACUUGGUGAUGACGAAUCUCGCAGAUUAUUCUUUAAAAGGCUAUUUCACU
rnacentral:lncRNA from 1 species